GAUUAGUAUGUCGAACCAAGUUCAACAUAUUUCUUCCGGAUAACCCAUGCAGAAAGGUAGAACUGGCAGAGUCACGAUUUAUGAAUGGAGAACUCCUCAAGAGUACUCUAAUUGUGAUCUUUUGAUCCAAUAAACAUCUGCCAUAAGCGGUUCAUAGUAUUUGGAAGAAGGAAAUACCACGGACCUCGAGGACUAUCGUAAAGUUACUAAUAUCCUGAAGGAACUAGCAAACACUAUCAACAUGAAGUAAGUAGAGUGAAUCUCGGGUUCAAAUCCCAAGGAGUAGAAUACCUACUACUAAGUAGCAUCACAGGAUGCUUUCAAGAAUGAUGGCCAGAAUCAUCACACUGGGAACACAAAUCAUGGCUAAAUUACUAGAUGAUCCCCUAAGACACCUAGGGUCAGAAUAAUAUCUCCAACAUAUAUGUCAAGGUAACGGAGUACCUCAACUCACUGAUUAGUGUGGUUAAUCUGGCCCAUGGGAACAUUGAAACGGGAAGAAAGGAUUUGCAAAUGCAUCAGACUACUUAGAAACCUGGGAUGACUCGGACAUCAUAACGGCUGUAAAUGCUCAGAAAAGAUUUGAGACAUUCACAAAAUGGUGGCAUAACUACUCAGAAGCACAAUAUCAAGGUUCCGAGAUCAAUAAUUAACAUACAGAAGUAGUAGGAAUUGAAACGAGGCUUAAGUCCAACAAUCUUAUAAGUCUGCGGAUUAGUAACACAUGAUCCUGAUAGAAAGAAGAGAUAGCCUAGUUCUUAAUCCCCGUAGAAGAGAAGAUGAUGACUCAGAUCAGAAGGCCAUGAGGUAUAAGGAGUAAAAAGAGCCUUACGUUCCAACCCACAAUCAAUUCCCUUAUAUAACUAAAGAAUUUCUAGACUCAACUUUGACCAGUUUGGCUUGGUAAUCCUACAGGCAGUCAAGCUCUGAUACCAAUGCUGUCAGGACCCCGAAUCAAUGCCACAUCGAUCUAGCAUGUAACACCUCAUAUCACUUUGCGGCCUCACGCACGGUAUUCCCACGGGUGUCGCCUUACCUUAGCCCGGGACCGUUUGCGCCUUUUGGCACACGUAUAUGACAGUGUCGCUAGCAUCCAUAUGAUAAGGAGCCCGGGCUGACAUGGCUAGUCGUAAACCCAAAGUGGCACAGACUUACAGGGACAGGCAUCCAUGACCCAGCAUCGAACGUGUCGGUCAUCAGCGAGUGAAUCCAGGCUGUAGCACUGGGCUAGCAGGACUCCGGUGAACCGGGCUGUAGCGGGCUAACAGGACUCCGGUAUUCAUCGCGUGACAUUUCCCCGAAGGGACAGACACAGGAACGAAGAAGGACACAUGCCGGCCAGCCUAAGUGUUCCGGAGCAGUAGCAAGCUACCAUGGCUCGGUGGAAACACUAGGAGACAUUUGCCCGUAAGAGAGGCUACUAAAGAUAAACAACUAGAUGGUCAGAUCCCACACAUACCAAGCAUUUCAAUAACAUACACACAAUAUGCUCGAUAUGUGCAAAUACAACAUGGCAUCACAACAUGACUCUACGACUCAAGUAAUUUAUUCAAUAGGCUCCGAGGAGUGAGAUAUUACAAACAGGGGUCUCAUGACCCAACAAUCAGAGCACACAAGUCAAAGCACAAGCGGAAGCUAUCAUGUCUGAGUACAGACAUCUAUAAAUGAAAAGGGCUGAGAAGCCUGACUGUUUAUCAGAUCCUGCCGAGGGCACAAGAUCGUAGCUGAGGUAACAAGCUAAACGCUGAAGUCCACGUGGAACUACUAGUGAGACCGAAGUCUCUCUGCAAAACAUAAAAUAGGCAAACGUGAGUACAAAUGUACCCAGCAAGACUUACAUCAGAACUAACUACAUAUGCAUCAUUAUCAACAAAGGGAUGGUGGGGUUUAACUGCAGCAAGCCAGCUUUGACUCGGUGGCUAUCCUGAACUAUGACUGCAAUGUAACUCUUUUGAUGUGGCGCACACGAGUCCACAUAUUCAUCAUAUCAAUACACCACUAUGGAUCCGCUCCCGUCUCCCUACGAGAACGCCAUCCAUAGCACUCACUCUUAUCUUGCGUAUUUUAGAGUAUCCACUUUCACUUGUCUAUGAACUGAUAUAAGCAACCCAAAAGUCCUUUUCCGCGGACACGGCUAUUCGAAUAGAUGAUGUUAACCCUGCAGGGGUGUACUUCUUCACACACGCUCUCACCACUUACCGCCGUUUACACGACAUGUACUCGGCAACCUUCAAGCGGAAGCCCAACGUGGGUGUCGGCCACGGCCUACCUAAACACUCGAGUCUCUAGUCCAGGUUUAUCGCCUAUUCGGGUUCCAUCCAUGAGGAGAUCCGGUCGGAGUUUCACUCACAGCCCCAAACGAUGUGAACAGGGUUCCGUGACACCAAACGGGCGCCCAGUAUACCCGGCCACGUGCCUACCGCAUCACAGCCCACCCCUACGGUCAGCGCUGCCCACGGCCUCCAGCAUACUACAAACACCAGAAACUACUUGCAACUCCUGGACAGAGGACAAGGGUGAUUAAGAAGCCGAGAGGGUCCAUUGGUUUCGGGCCCAAUGCGUGGUAGUAGCUGAAUCGUGGAUCACAAACAUAGAACUCAGUUCUUGAGGACGGCUGCAAUGAGACAACCCACCAUGUACUCCUACAUGGCCUCUCACCGCUACCUUUACCAAAUCGUAUUCACACACUUAGCUCACACACAGUAGGACAUGUUCACACACCUCUGAUUCAUCCCGGAUGAAUCAGACCUGACUCGUCUCUAAGCAGUAGCAGGCAUGACAAACAAGCAUGAAUGAGUAGGCACAACAGGGCUCAAACAACUCCUACUCAUGCUAGUGGGUUUCAUCUAUUUACUGUGGAAUGACAGGUCAUGCAAAGGAUAAAGGGGUUCAGCUACCGCAGCAAGUAACAGAUGAAUCGUUGUUGUCCUAAUGCAGUAAAAGAGAGCAGGAGCGAGAGGGUAGGAUUGUAUCGGAAUGAACAAGGGGUUUUUGCUUGCCUGGCACUUCUGAAGAUAACAUUGAGUCUUCAUCAGUGUCAACGAUCACAUCAUCGGUAUCGCGUCUAUCGAGAGGGGACAAAUACCGGCAACACAGAAGGGAACACAAUCAAUGCAAUGCACAAUAUGAUGCAUGAUCAUGACAUGGCAAAAUGAAUGUGUUUUGAGCUAAUGCAACUAGCAACAGAUUAAAUGAAGUUGGUUUGAAUACAAGAUUCAAAUUUAAACUCCAUAUGUGAUUAUUCAAAUGCCAUUUAAUUGAUUUGUGCUAAACAGCAGCUAUAAGUUGUUCUAACAUGCAUGAAAAUGGUACAGAUGGAUUCCUUGAAUUUUUAUGAUAAUUUUUCAUAUAUAAAUUAUUUGGAGUUACGGUUGAAUUUCUAUGAUUUUUAGAAGUUUUAGGCAUUUUCUGGAAUUUCCUGAAUUAUAAUAAAUCCAGAAAAUGAUUUAUUGCGUCAGCACUAGGUCAUGCUGAUGUCAGCAGGUCAACUAGGCGGGUCCAGGUCAAACCUGACCAGUGGGGUCCACUGGUCAGUGACUGGGGCUGGAUAGUGCCAAUGACAAGUGGGGCCGGGUCAACAGACACGUCAGCACGGUCAAAGCUGACGUGUGGGCCCAUGGUGGUUAGGUUAACACUUAACAGAAAAUAAUAAAAAUUAACUAAGGGCGUGGGGCCCAUACGUCAGUGGCUCUGGGGAGGGUUAGUUGGGUCAUUAGUGGUUAACUAGACCGGGGUUAGGCCGACGGCUCGUCGCCGGUGAGGUCAGUGGCGGCGGAGCGCGUCGGGUUUCGCCCACAGGCGACCAUUUGGACGGCGGAUUGGUCCUACGCGUAGCUGGGGGUCGCGCGCGUCUGGUGGUGCAAGUGGGAGGAGCUGGGGUGGAGCGGGCUCGCCGGAGUCGAGCUCGUGGCGGCGGCCGGAGUUCGGGCAACGGCGGGUUCGGCGCUAUGGUGCAUGGGAGGAGGGGUUGGUGGGCGCUACGGGCUCGUGGAGACGUUCUGAGCACGAUGGUGCACUCAGGUGGGAGCUCCAGUGGCUCUGGCCACGACGGCGACGAGGCACGGCGGCGGCGAGCUUCGGCCGUGGUGGAAGAAGGAGCUAGGGAACGAAAUCAUGUGCGGGGAGUGAGGGGAAGAGAAGAGGAGCUCACGGGGAGUUCGUCGGCGGUCUCGGGGAGCUCGGGGAGGCGUCGGAGGUGGUGAAUCGACAGCGGCGGUCCUCGCUGGCCGAGGAGGGAAAAAACGUCGGGACGGUGCUUCGGGGCUUCUCCGGUCGCGUGAGCCGACGGGGAGGUCGAGGGAGGCACUGCAGAGCUCAGGAGCACGUCGGGGAGGAGAAGGGGUGGUGGUGGCCAUGGGUACGGCGACGAUGACGGCGAGCUCCGCUCGGUGGUGUGCGCGAGAGGGAAGCAGAGGAGGGAAUGGGGUCCAGGGGGAGAGAGGAGAGGUGCAGGGGGCGAGGGGGAGUGCGUGGCGUCUCCGGGCAUCGAGGAGGGAGGCAACCAGGCAGGAGGUGGCUAGGGGGGGAAGCAGGAGGUGGCCGAGGCAUCGCCAGCGCUCGCCACCGAGCAGCUUCGGUGCGAGGGGAGGAAGACGACAGGAGAAGGGUGGGCUGGGCUGGCUGGGCCGGCCAGAUGGAGCUGGGCCAGGCUCUGGUGGGCUGCACGGUAAGGCCAGGUAACUUCCUUCUCUCUCUCUCUCUUCUUCUAAUUAUCUCAGUUUUCUAUUAUUCUGUAAAUUUAGGGCUUUAAUAAAAAUACUCAGACACUUUCAAAAAUCAUGAAACUAAUCAUGGCUACUGUUUAGAAUAUAUCCAACAGUAAACAUUUUAGUUUAUGAUUAUUUGAGCAUUUGAAAUAUUUAAUAGCAUUUAAAUGCUCAAAUGCAAAUACUAUAUAAUUUAAUUCAAAAAUCCAGGAAUAGCCUAUAAGUAUGUUCAUCAUUUUUGGAAGGGGUUUUCACCUUUAACAGAAAUUAUGAACAUUUCCAAAGGCAUGCUGGGUUAUUGAAAAUAUUUUUAUUGAACCUAGUUAAAUUUCAUGUGGUGCUAGGGUUUCAACAAUCCCCAUUUCAAAUUUCUUUGGAAUUUAAACAUGAUGGCAUGAUGAACAAGCAAAGUCAAGCAAGGGCUGAACUGGGGCUGUGACAUAGACAUGGUCUCCAACUCGGAAGUUUAUGUCUCUACGACGUGAGUCAGCGUAGCUCUUCUGUCUUGACUUGGCAGACUUCAGACGCUCUCUGACAAGCUGGACUUGCUCUUCUGCUUCACCGAGGAUAUCGGGCCCAAAGACAAGUCCUUCUCCGGUUUCUGACCAAUUGAGGGGUGUGCGGCAUUUCCGCCCGUAUAACACCGCAAAUGGUGCCAUCUGAAGGCUUGACUGAUAACUGUUGUUGUAAGAGAACUCGGUGAAAGGGAGGCAAUCUUCCCACUUAGCUCCAUAAGCUAAGACACAGGCUCGGAGCAUGUCUUCGAGUAUCUGAUUUACUCGUUCUGUCUGACCUCCGGUCUAUUGGUGGAAAGCAGUGCUGAAGGACAACUUGGUCCCCAUGGCCUCUUGGAACUUCUUCCAGAACCUUGAGGUAAACUGGGUUCCUCGAUCUGACACAAUCUCCUUGAGAACACCAUGAAGGCCCACGAUUCGGUUGAUGUAGAGAUUGGCUAACUGGUUUCCCUUGUAGGUCGUCUUGACAGGAAUGAAAUGGGCCACCUUGGUUAAAUGGUCAACAAUGACCCAUAUGGAGUCAUGUCCCUUGCUUGACCUGGGGAAACCGGUGAUGAAGUCCAUCCCGACUUUGUCCCACUUCCAUUCAGGCACCUUGAGAGGUUGCAACAAUCCAGCGGGUCGCUGAUGUUCAGCUUUGACUCUCUGGCAUAUGUCACACUUUGCAAAAUAGGUGGCAAUCUCCCUUUUCAUCCCGUGCCACCAGAAUCUUUCCUUUAGGUCUUGAUACAUCUUGGUUCCUCCAGGGUGGAUGGAAUAUGGGGUGUCAUGAGCUUCUUGCAAGAUCAGGUUCUUGAGCUCAACCUUGUUGGGCACGCAGAUGUGAUUCCCAAACCACGCAAUUCCUUUCUCAUCCUCUGAGAAUCCUGGGGCUUUGCCCGCCUUGAUCUUCCUCUUGAUGCCUUCAAUACUCUCAUGUCCCUUCUGAGCUUCCUUAAUAUCAUCCAUCAGGGUCGGCUUGACUUCAAGGUUAGCUAAGAAUCCUGGUGCAACCAGUUCCAACCCGAAGCUUUCAAGUUCUUCAUACAAGGCGGGUAGCUUGUCCUUAAGCAUAGCAUUCAAGGAGCAAGCCUUCCUUCUUAAUGCACCUGCUACCACAUUAGCCUUCCCAGGGUGGUAUCGAACACUGAGGUCAUAAUCUUUGAUCAAUUCUAGCCAUCUUCUUUGCCUCAUGUUCAAUUCCCUUUGAGUGAAAAUAUACUUCAGACUUUUGUGAUCCGUGUAUAUCUCACAUCGCUUCCCUAAGAGGUAAUGUCGCCAUGUCUUCAGGGCAUGAACCACUGCUGCUAGCUCCAGGUCAUGAGUAGCGUAGUUCUCUUUAUGAGGCCGUAGUUGCCUUGAAAGGUAAGCUAUGAGUCUGCCUUCUUGCAUCAGAACACCUCCCAGUCCGGUUCUUAACGCAUCACAAUAUAUCACAAACUCCUUGUGUAUAUCUGGUGUGGCCAGAACUGGGGCGGUGGUCAGUCUCUUCUUCAGCUCCUGGAAGCUCUCUUCACACUUCGGCGUCCAUUCAAACUUCUUUUCCUUCUUCAAGAGCUGAGUCAUGGGUCGGGCAAUGCUUGAGAAUCCUUCAACGAACUUGCGGUAAUAUCCCGCGAGUCCGAGGAAGCUUCUGACUUCCGUCACAUUGCUUGGGGAUUGCCAUUCAGUCACGGCUUCAAUCUUAGCGGGAUCGACUGACAAUCCUUCUUCAGUUGAAACAUGACCCAAGAAUCCAACUUCACGCAGCCAAAAUUCACACUUGCUGAACUUGGCAUACAGUUGGUGCUCUCGAAGCUAGUCUAGAACCAUCCUCAAGUGUCGCUCGUGCUCUUCUUCCGUCUUCGAGAAGACAAGAAUGUCAUCAAUGAAGACAACGACAAACUUGUCCAAAUAUUCCAUGAAGACCUUAUUCAUGAGAUACAUGAAGUAAACCGGGGCAUUGGUCAAUCCAAAGGGACAUGACCAUGCACUCAUAUAGGCCAUAUCUGGUUACAAAUGCCGUCUUCGGAAUAUCUUGGGGUCUGAUUUUCAGUUGGUAGUACCCAGAUCUGAGGUCGAUCUUGGAGAACACCUUGGCCCCAUUGAGUUGAUCAAACAGAUCUUCAAUCUUGGGAAGUGGGUACUUGUUCUUGAUUGUAACUUCAUUGAGGGAGCGGUAGUAAAUGCACAAGCGGAUGGUACCGUCCUUCUUUGCCACAAACAGAACAGGUGAUCCCCAAGGGGAGGCACUAGGGCGGAUAAAUCCCUUCCUCAACUGCUCUUCCAGCUGCUUCUUCAAUUCGGCUAACUCUUUCGAUCCCAUUCUAUAAGUCUUCUUAUAGAUGGGUCCCGCUCCGGCUAUGAGCUCGAUGAUGAACUCAAUGUCUCGAUCAGGAGGCAUUCCCGGUAGCUCAUCAGGAAAAACAUCGGGGUAUUCGCAUACUACCAGCACUUGCUCCAACGAUAAUUCCUACAUGUUCCCCAAGUCAUUUGUCCUCUAUUCCUGUAUCCUCAAAUUGGUCUUCCCAAUGGCAUCGUCAGUUUUGGUGCUGUCCUCAGGAUGAUAAUGUGCUAGUUCACUAUGUCCACUAGUCCGAUGAUGGACCCAUGGUUGUGCAAGGUUACGGAGGCUUAACUGAUGCCUUUGCAAUUCUGUGGGUUAAGCACAUGGUUAAGGACUUGAGCUGGGGUAUCUCGUGGAGUCUCCAAGGGUCUAGGGAUGGAGCUCUAGUCUUGAGGUGUAAACAUAUGGGGUUGUACUUGGUCGAGGAGGUUGUAGCAAAAGUCUUCAGUGCUUGUUGGUUGCCAAAUCAGAAUCCUUGGUGUAUCUUGUCUUGCUUGUCUUCAGUUGAGGAGAGAGAUGAGAGGGAAAAAGUAGCAUAGAGGAGGUGGGUUGCCUAAAGGGGGUUCUAUAGUGCAGGUGCAAACAAACAAGUGCCAAAAGGCCAAACACAAACAACAAAAUGAGGAAGGCGAUAUAGUCGCGUACUUGUUGCCUAGGGAAAAAGUGCGACCUAUAUCAAAACACAAACAAAUAAAGACAAGCAACACGCAAUCAUGGUUCUAUUCGAACUAUCACACGGACUCGACUGCGCAUAGGGGGUACACGACUCAUCCUACCCUAGGGGUUCUCGGACUCAGUAGUCGUGCCUUGUGCCUCGUGCAGUCUUCUGAGUUUUCCUCAGGUGUUGCUACGUCUCUUGUAGUUGUUCGAUGAAACGAUCGCGGUUGAGCUUGAAGAGUCUUCAACAAAUUCUUGCCUGUUGAAGUGAUGGGGUGAAGGUGGCUCCUCGUAGCUGGCAUUGACUCGGCCUUCUGUUGUCUUCUUAACCAUAAUGACCCCUUUUUGUCUUCUAAGCCAUCGAUGGUAUCAGGUGGGUAAUCUUUUAUGCAAUGACAUUAUCAAGGCGUAAUAGAGGUCCAUCAUGUCGGUUACAUUGAUGACAACAUCGACACCAAGAGCGGGGGAUGAGGAGAACCGUUUUCCUGCUCACUAUGGUGAGGCGGACCAAAUGGCUAGGUUCUCAUCCAUAGGUGGUUGCCGAUAGAACAACGGUAGUGACAGGGUUCCUCUAUUAGCGAUGUAUAUCAUUAUCUUGCAUAUUCUAUGCCCUGAUCAUCGUACGCUAAGGUUGCAUCAUCUUGGGGCAGUGUCAAGGAUGUCACCAUCUCCUGGGUCUUCAGGUCCUCAUUCCUCGAGGAUGUAUCUUCUGUUGGUAUCGUCUUGUUGUGAUGUCGCCAAUCUUGUGUUCAGGAGAUGUGGGUGAAUGUCUGGCAAGGCAUCUUCCUUCUUGAUUAUCCACGAGGAUUACAAGGAAUCCGAUGGUCAGGGGCAUAAGGGUUCUAGCGACCAAAGAUUUUGAAGGGGAAGAGAUCAAUAGGGAAAGUAUACCUUAGUUUUCGAAAGACUGAGAAGGGAAGAGAAGUACAGAUAGUUUUGAAAACAAGUAGUAGUUUUGGAAAUAGUUUUACCCUAACUAACGACCAUGCUAACUAAGGCUUCCUACAGUCAGGAUGGCUCUGAUACCAGCUCUGUGGGGACCCCGACUCAUAAGUCGUGAUCACCGAAUGCACGUGUACAGUGAUCCCAGAGAUCAAUGCUCACUGAACACACAGAAGCUGAAUAACAAGAGUCUUACAUCCAUACAUACCGUUUUACACAAGUAGGACCAUUAUGGUCAAGUCUUGAGUAUAUCAUCGCAGCGGAAAUCUUCGUCGAUAACUUGGACCCAUGCCAUCUGCCUUAACCCUACAGGCAUUCUGACUGGGAAGCGUCCUAGCUCGCAUGUUCGUCACCGAAGUAUUCUCCAUCAUAUCGUGUUCUUUCAUGCCUGGCCAAUAAAAUAACCAGUGGCAAGCCAAUGAGUACUUUGAAUGUACUCGCAAGCAACCCAUGUUUUGGUUCAAGAUACAACAAUGCAUGAUAUAGGUAAAUUUUGUGGAAAGCUAGUUUUGAGUGCAAUGACAUGUUCAACAUCUUUGUAAGGCAUGCAUCAGGAGAAUUCAAGUAAUCAUGAGGACAUGUUACAGAUAUCAACAUAAAUAGAGUGGGCACCAACCCAUCUAUCAUAAAUAGAGUGGGCACCAACCCAUCUCAAUCAUGUCAAGUCCCUUGACUUGACCCAAGUCAUUUUUAUCAACACACACACUUGGUUUGUAAACAAGUGGACGUAGCCCAAGAGCGGUUACCCAACUGUCCUUGACCGUGGACACGGCUAUUCGAAUAGUUUUACACUCUGCAGAGGUUGCACACUUUACCCACAAGAUCCGGGGAACUUCCGUGUCAUCCACGACCCGCGAUACCUUAAGUACCCGGGGUAAGCACCCGAUCACUACCUUUCCCUAGACGACACUAACAUGGAUUCCACUCGAUUGGUAGUAACCCCCGUGCCCAACAUUAUCACAUAACAUUAUCGUGGAGCCUUGCUCCCAUAUUUAUCACAUACCACUGGCACGGGGUACCAACGGUGUGUCCGGAGCCCCAUAAAAAUGGUCAUGGCCGCCCUACCUGGCACGACCCCGUCCCGAGAGAGAGCACCAACUCUCCCCCGUCACUAGUAAAAUGCGGGCUCCAAGCUAGUAUUGGUCUAGGUACUCAAUAAUGCCCUUUCCCAUAUAAGGGUAGAGUAGUUGCGCAUGUAAGGUUGGAAUAACGGUCGCAACUCCGACCAAUCCGUUUUGAAAACAACACACACUUUCCUUGGUACACCACUUCGUCAUCAAGUGGUUACCCAUCUCAUCAUCUCCCUCGGGCAUAAGUGGCACCCGACGGGGUUUUUGAAAAGUCCUUUGAAAAAUACUUUGCCUCCUUCAUCAUGCACAUACCUGUCCCUUUUGCGUAGCGUCUACCUUAGCAUCCUAUCUACUCCCACCGGCAUAACCCUCAUAAGAAGGUAGGGCCAUGCACAAUGCAAGUGUCAACGAGGAAGUAACAGAGGCAACCAACCCACGUGGUUCACAAUCUCAUCAUGAUUCCGAAGCAACAAUAAUAAAGAGCUAUAUGACAUGGAUUAAAAAGGGUUUCAUAAACAUGGUCAAAGGGCUGCUUGCCUGUUCCUCAGAGUCUUCAAGUCUUCUGGUCCUUCUCCAAGUACUCCGUCUACUUCGUCAACUAACGUCGGGAACAAACACAAUAAGCAACACAACAAGGCAAAAGUAAAAGUGCUCUAAAAAUGUGAGUAGGACUUUUCUGGGAUACCUCUGGUCAUAUGAGGGAUGACCAAAGUGGUUUCAUUAGGAUUUGAUCAAUGGACAUCUCUGAACAUUUCAAUAUGAUGGAAUCAAGAGGUUUAUGGAUUUGCAAGAAGUGUACAGAAAUAUAUUUUUGAAAAAUGAGCAAAGGCACCCAUUUAACAAAGGAUGAUUUUAGAAACAUCUAGGAAUUUGUUUCACUGGAUUUGGAGUUGAGAUGAUUUUCCUAUGAAUUUGCAAAGUUGGCAUAUACAAAGAAAUAGACCAUUAGUUGAGGUGAUACAGAAAGUAUUAGUAAAAAUGUUCAAAAACUAAGUUUUGAACUUAGAUGCAUCUAGGAAUAUGAAUCAUGCAAUUUGGAUCAAUUUUGAGCCUUCUGUGAUUUUCUAAAGUUUAUGACAAAAAUGGAAAUAUGGGAUUUGAUCAUUAUUUGUGAAGGAAAUGCUUCUGUAAAAAUAUGGAAAUAGCACCAUGUGGUAGGGAAUGAUUUUUGAAACUACUAGAAAUUUGAAUCAUCAAAUUUGGAGCUAAUUUGAUUUGUUUAUGGAUUUUUGAAGUUGACUAGAAAAAGAAAAAGACCAAGGUUUUAUCGAAACGGGCUAGAUCUGGGCGGCGGCGGCGCGCUCUGGGCGAGGGAUAGCUGACGGGCCGGCCCAGCUGCGUAGCCGCGCGGGAGAAGAGGCCACGUCGAAGGCGUACUAGCUCGAGGGCGUCUUCGCCGCGGGGAGGCGGACUCCAGUUGACCCGCUUCCACUUAAUCCGCGGGGCCGGCCGGGUGGGUCGCUGACCUGCGGGGUUCGCUUGUCGAGUUCAUCCCCGACCUCCCGCACGGGCGCGUCGGGAGACGGAGAAGGCGAGGCCGGACAGUGCCGGCGCUCUCCCCGGCGGUACCGGCCACCGUUUCCGGUGAUCCAGCCACCGGAGUGCUCGGGGAAAUGUGCCGCAUCCGGGAGGCCACACUACAGGCGCCAGUUUCCUCAGAGAGGAGCGGGUCUUCGCCCGCGUCGGAGGAUGGCAUCGGCCAUUGCUGGCUUCGAGUGCAGGGGCGUCCCGGGGAAGAAUGGAGGCGAUGGGGGGCUUCGUGGUGGUGGUGCGGGAGUACUGGAGUGGGUAGGGAGAAGAGAGAGGGGUCAUGGUGCCCGAAUCCGAGCGGCAUUCGAUGGCGGCACCCCGGCCAUGGAGAGGGCAGGAGAGCAUUAGGGGUAUAGGGUUGUUGUCUGGGAGGUGCAUGGGAGAGAGAGGGAUCCAGAAAAGUCGAGGGACUGCCCGGGGGGAGGCUCUAUAUAGGGGGGGCCAUGGUGCACCGUGGACGCGGCCUACGGUGCACUCGGGUGACGUCGUGGAGGGGAGAGGAGAGAGUUUUAGGAGGGAGCCGGCAGCUUGCCAUGUCCCAGACGCCAAGGCGGCCUCGUGAGACACGCUGGGGAGGCCCGAGGUGGACGGAGGCGGUUGGCAGGGGGUGGCUACAGUGCGGGAGCGCACUGUAGUGCGCUCCAGAGCGCCCAUAUGGCUGUCCAGGCCAUUUUCUAUGCUUGUGGGCGCGCCCUUGCAUGUCCAGUAGCAUUUGGGGGUGCUAAGGAAGGGAUCUUGGCCUUGGAUGCUUUGGGUGGCGAGUGGGUGAAGAGAGAGGAGGGAGAAGAGUGGAAAUGGGGCUGUCUAGAAUAGAAAAGUGGAGAUCUUCCCCCUUCCAUCAUUGCUUACUUGGGCAUAAAAGCGUCCAGGUGCUAGAGGGGGACUAGGAGAGGUUGUGGUAAAAAUUAGAGUCCAUGGAGAUUAGUGGAAGAGGCCAAAAAUGGGAUUUUGGUAAAGUGGCAGAAGGUGUUUGAUGAUGGUUUGGGCAAGUAGAUGAUUUUCAUUUGCCAUGAGACUCCAUAGGGUGAAAUGACACAUAUAAUCAGGGCCUUCCACCAAUUGGGGGCUCAUUUGAAGAAAGUUGACAAUGCAACUUUUGUGAACCCUAGAAAUGAAUAGAAAUGGAUUUUCCAAGAUUUAGUCAUGCAAAUCUAUUCUCCUUUAUGCACCACUUGGUGUAGUGUCAUCAUUAGAGGCUCUGAACAUGUCCACAAAAGUUGAGAUCAAAAGGAGAAAGUUGCCAAUGUAGAGUUGUUCAAAUAUGGUUUUGGACAGGAAGGGUUUUGGGGCACUUUGAUCAAGUUAAAUUGUUCUCCAACUUGUGCCACUUGGUCUAGAUCAAUUAUUAGACCAUUUGAGAAUGUUCACAAGGUUUGAGAACAUUUGGACAUGUUUGGCAAUGUAAAGUUGCUCAAACUUCAAAAUGGACAGAAAUGGUUUUGAGGGGAUUUGAUGAUUUUAUCUUGUUCUCCAAGUCAUGAGACUUGGCAAGGUAAUCUAAUAUGUCUUAUGUGACAUGAUAGUAUUUUCUUGGAAUUUUUGGAGAAUAUAUCCUUUGUAAAUAUUUCAGAAGCUUGAAAUAUCCAGAAAGGGUUUUUGAGGUAUUUGACCAAUAUUUUGAACAUGACCAUGUGUUGAAACUCUUAUAUAUGGACAAUAUGUGUCCACUGAGUUUCCCUGAUUUUUGUCAAAUAUUUUUAAAACAAUAAAGUAAAUUUUCUCUAUUAAAGACAAUUUCUGGCCUUAAAAAAAGCUUUUAAUAAAAUAGGGAAAUAACUUUUAAAAUUAUAUUUUUGUGGUUUCUGGGUAUCCUAUAUCUAAUAGGAGUCAUAUAUAUUUUUGGAAAGAUUUUUACUGCCCUUAAUUAAGUACUUGCAGUGCAAACCUCAAUUCAGGGGUUUUUUGGAAAACUAAUUUUUGAAAAUACCUUUUGGCCAAAUUAUUUUUGUAAGAAAAUACUAUAUUGCUCUAUACACAUGGCAUGAUCAUUGGGAAAAGGUUUUGGAUCAGGGAGAUGAAGUAUAGGAGUUGGGGAAUUUAUUUGAUUUUUAGAGCACUUGCAAACAGCAAACAAAAAUCCAAUCAAGCAAAGUCCAAAACACUCAAAAGUUUUUAUCAAACCACAUUUUAUCAUGAUUUAUCAGCUUAAGUGUUGUGCCAUGAAAAUCAGGGUGUGACAUAAAAUGGUUCGGGAAAUUCAUACGUGUUAGAAAUGUUUAAAGAAGGGCCAUUUUGCUUCAGCGUGCAUGUCCAAACUUUGUUGUAAUGCAUGUUCAUGGGUUGGCCAUAGGAAAAAGUAUUGUAACCACUUUGCCAGGAUCUUGGGUUUGGUUUGGCAACCAAAACCCGGUAACAUUGUAACUUUCGAGGAUCGCUCUUCUGGCAGCGGGAAUAUCUCUCCGACAUAGCUUUUACCAAACUUGGACCUCUCUUGCACUUCCGCAUUAACUUCCUCGUACAUUUCCAUGAGCCCCGGCCUCAAGACUCCAUCGACCGCUCAUCCGGAUACGCCGCCACCGUCGCUGAGCCCACCACCCAUGGCGUGUUCGCCUUCAUCAGGCCCCGCUCCGAUGGCCAACUUCCACCUCGACCUAAUGUUGUAUGUGCUGGCGGGCCAUCACAUCAUAGAUGGUGGUGCAGCUCGUGUGCCCUGGAAUUUUGUGAUGCAACAUACCCCAAUUGUGCGUCGCCACGAGGAGUCCAUGCUUGCUGAGGUAAUGCCUAUCGCACCGCCUGAUUAGAUUGGUGCUGGUAGGGAAGAGGUGGUGCAAUGGCUCAAAGCCCAUGGCGUUUUGGUGAGGUCUGCAUAGCCAUGGAUUCGUGUUGUAGGUCUCUGUCUUGGCUGGGGACGAGCACCUAUGGGGCAGGGGGCCCCUUCUGGUCCGGCAAGGGAGCGGAGGGCGCACGCAGAGCAGAUCGAGGCGAGAGCACGCAGGGGGAUUUUACCCAGCUUCGGAGCUCUCCGGAGAGAUAAAACUCCUACUGCUGCUUUGUGUUUGUAUUUGUUCUUGCUUGAGAGUGUGGGUAUGCUGUGGUGUCGAAUGGGUCGAAUGAACCGAACCCCCCCCCCCGAACCCCUUUCUACGUGUGCAUGGGCCUCCCUUUUAUAGUCUAAAGGGGGUCACCGACAGGUGGCAGCGUAGAAAGAGGGGUAAAAAGGUAAAAAUGCGGGUUGGUACAACCACUAUCAACAGUACCCCCUACCUAACUCUGACGGCAGGGGACAAGGGCAUUUAAUGCCCGUCUGGUCGCCCCAACAGUGCAGGAAGCGACCGUUAGGGGUGCCACCGAUCGCCACGAUGGCCUCCUUGUCAGCUUCGCUUGCCACCUCGCACCGCAUGGCUGCACAGCUACCCGCCACGUGCACCAGGAGCGAUCAUGCGGCGACACGUCGUUGGAUGUGCUGGAGCCUGGGCGCAGAGUGGUGGCUUCGUCGCGGCAAGCGCCUUGCCGCGGUCGUUAUCUUGUCGCACCCGCAAGCUUGCCGCUCGUCGGGUCUUGCCGGGACGCGCGGAGCGUCGCGGCAAGUUUUCUAAAGUGCCUUGGUUGGCCUUCCCGGCAAGCUCCUCUUGCUGGGGUCCUUGUCCUUCCCGGCAAGCUUCUCUUGCCGGGGUCUUGUCCUUCCCGGCAAGCUCCUCUUGUCGGGGCCUUGUCUUCUCAGUUAACACUUUGUUCUUGAAUGAUAGUAAUAUGAAUAGUGGAGGGUCUUGGCGGACGCCCGGCAAGCCUUGCCGCGGGACGCUGCGACUGCCCGUGCACUAGUUCGGGGUACUAAGGUACCCCUACUUUAGUGCACCGACAGGAGCCCCCGGGCCUGGGCCAUACACGGUGCCGAGCGCUGUUGGGCCAGGCCCAAAACAGGGCACGGGCACGCGCGGCCUGGGUCCAAACCGAAUCCACUUCGUAUCCACCGCGUCCUCCCAUAACAGCACGCGUCAAUCACGGCGUCAUGGGAGACAUCGUGGGCUAUACUUUAAUCCAGGAAAUGCGUAAUGUUCGCCUCCCCUGUUUAUAAGCAGAGGAAACAGAGCCGUUCCCCCACUUUCGCAACUUGCAGUUCCUUCCUCCGAAAGCUCCGCCGCUCCCCUCCGCUUCCCAAGUCGAAAGAGAGCAGCGCUCCGCCGCCCGUCGCCGCCGUCGCCCUCAACACCUCCGCGCUCCUCCGCCGCUUCCGCCAUGGCUCUGAAGACCAGCAAGGCCACGAAGUCAGCCGAGGUGCUACGGCUCGAGGCGUUGCGCAAGAAGCGAGUGCUUUUCCCCGCCGUGCUUACCGCGAAGGCGCUGCGGGAGGAAUUUUACCUUUUCUGGUCGACGCAGACGCGGGCGCAUCCGCGCACGCCGGUGCUUUCCGCUGAGGCUUCAAAGUCGAAGCGGUGCCCAAAAGGGUACUAUUUCUUUCCGGUGUUCUUCUAUUGCGGGCUCUGCCCACCUUUUUCUGACUUCUUCUGCGACAUCAUGAAUACCUACGGGUUUCAUCUUCUUGAUUUCACCCCCAACGCCUUUCUGACAAUGGCGGCUUUCGCACACCUCUGCGAGAACUUCAUUGGCAUCCACCCAAACGUUGCUCUUUUUCGCCAUUAUUUCACCCCCCGAGCUGAAAAAGGAGAGCCAUUGGCUGGAGGAAUCGCCUGGACCUCUCGACUCGGCAUGAAGGAGGUGUAUUUGACAGGCGAGCUUCGCAGCAAGUGGGAUGAGUGGAGGGCGGAGUGGUGCUGGAUCUGUGAUGCCAAUCCGCAGCCAUUCACCAACCUGCGCCAGGCACGGGUAGUUCGUGGCGGCGACUGGAGCGCUCUGUCGCCGGACGACGCCAAGCUGAAGGUUGCCACCACCCGAAUCCUCCGGCUCAGGCUUGCCGGGCUCACAGCAGGGGCAGUUGGCGCGGACUUCCUUCGCCGUCGCAUCGCCCCUCUGCAGAAGAGGGGGAGGCCCGCCUGGCAGUUUGGUGGCCCGGCGGAUAUCAUGAGGCUGCGUCCAGGCCUCAACUUCAACUUCACCGUUUUGGAGCUUGACGGGAUGCUGAGGGAGCUAUUCAAGCAUGACGCUAACCAUCCAGAGUGGUUCAGGUUGCCGGAGGGCGUCGUCCCCUUGUGCAACAACUCCCAGCGCGAUCGCAUCUGCGCAAUGAUGCCAGAGUGCGACUCGCACGGGAUAAGUGCAACUUGGAUAGAGCCCGCCGUCGAGGUCGUGCAGCAAUUCUUUGAUGGCUUGACGGAGGUGGCAGUCAACUCCGACGAGCAGAAGCUCCUCACCCGCGCCAACACCGACGACGAGAUGCAGUACAUCGCCACCAGGGCCGAAGAGGCGGCGGCAGCCGCUGCCGCGGGCGAGUUCGGCUUCACGUUGGAGGAGGCGGAGGCGGCCGAGGCGGCAAGUCUUGCCGACCGGGAAGACCUUGCCGGAGAGGUUGUUGGCGAGGGGGAGCCUGAGGUCGAAGCGAGCGAGCCCGCCGGGGGCGCGAGCGGCCAGCCGUCCUCGAGCAGCUUGCCGCAGGCGGAGCCCCGAGCGCAGCCCCAAUUCCAGCCAAGAAGGCGCCUCCGUCGAGUUGGAGAUCCAGCAGCGCGGCAAGCAGGCCAACAGCCGCAGCGUCGUGGGACGCGCUCCACUGCGGCAAGUACGGUUGCCGCAGGAGCAUCUCAGGCCGCGCCGGCAACCGAGGUGGGGUCUUCCCGGGCUGCCACACCCGAUCCUGCCGCGGCUCCCGGAAAACGUCCAAGGGAGCCCACUCCUCCGCCACACCGCGCAGAGAGGGUACCGGACUUCGAUCUCUCUGCGCUGAGCUCCGAUGAUGAUGAAGAGGAGGAGGAGGAGGAGUAAGACUUUCUUCUUACUGUACUUGUCUUUCUUUGAUCUUUGUUGUUGCUUAUCUUGUAUCUGAUUUGCUUCCCUCUGAAUCUUUGUUCCAUUUCAGGACUCUGGCCGAGAGGGCGGCGAAGAGGGCCAAGGUCCCAGUGGAUGUCAUCGAGGACGAUCCAGCUGUGACGGUAGAGCACACGUCCGAGACUACCUUGACGGACCCGGUUCCUUCUCCUCGCAGCAGCCCCCAGCACAGCCCCCAGCGUAAGUGUUUGGUUCACUUUCUGUUAUGGGGCGCGCAUGGGUGCUUCUUCUUUUGCUGAUACCUUGAUUGCUGAUUCAUUCGUGUAGGAGCAGAGCAGGCUCAUCAGGAGCGAUCAGAAACCGCCCCGGAGGUGCUGUCUGCUUCUACUACGCCGCCAAGGGGUGAUUCCCUGACAAGGGAGCGCUCCCCGGCAAGGGAGAGGUCUCCGGCAAUGGACGGAACCAGUGAGCCUUUGAUGGAGGAGCCCAUGGUCACAGAGCCCAGCACAGGUGACCUACCUUGUCGGAAAUCUUCCCUUGGGUCCUUUUUCUGAUCCUCUUUCUUCUUCUUUUCUUUUUUUUUGGAUAUUUGCUUGACUUUUCCUUCCUCUUCCUGUCCUCAGAUCCCCCUCUCACAGACCCGAUGGAGACCGAGGCCACCGGCGAGGAAGGCGCACGCGGCAAUACUAAAGAUGCCGCCGCUGGAGAGGAAGAGGCCGGCGCUGAUGAACCCGCCGACGAGGAAACCGCCAAGGCUGCUGGCGCAGGAGCCGGCGAGGGGUCCAGCGGUCGUACUGACGACCCGAAGGGCGCAGGAGCGCAAGGCACUGCAUCGUCCGCCGACCCCUCCACAGCUGAUGCAGCGCCGGGCUCCGAGGAGCCCCAGCCAGGCGCAUACUUGAAGGCCGGCGAGGGCGUAUACAUCAAGCUUCCCUGGGCGUCGAGCUCCAGGGCGCCGGUUGAAGGAGAGGAGUUUGAUGGAGAAGUACUCGCCUCUGCUGGGUUGGCAGUGGUUGACGCGCCUAGCAGCAGCAGUGCCGAGUCCGAGGAGGAGCAGCUGCUCCGGAAGUUGUUGUCACUCUACCGCGCCCGGCAAGCGAAGCUUGAGUCCCGGGAAGCGCUUGUCGCGCAGGCGGGAGUUGACAUAGAGAAACACGCGCAGGAGCUCAAAAGCCGCAACCAGGAGGCCCUCCGCUCCAUUGCGGAGGAGAGGGCGCAACUUGACGAGGUGAAUAAGGCGUUCAUCCUGGAGAAGGCUGAAGCCGAGGAGCAGCAGAGGCUCGCUGCCGAGGAGAUGUCCAAGCGGGAAGGUGAGCUGACACAGAAGAAGGCUAGUCUGGACAGCCACGAGGAGGAGCUCGAGGCCCGGGAGCAAUCACUUGGCAGGGCACUCAAGGAGGCGAAGGAUGCCGCCGCGGCUGCUGAGGCCGCCAAGAAGGAGCUAGAGGUGAAGGUGACGCAGCUGGAGGCGAACAUAAAAGGGAAGAACGAAGAGCUUGCCGCACUCUAGCGCGAGCGCGAGAAGGAUGCCCAUGCCCAUGGUGAUCUGCAAGUUCAGCUCGCCGAGAAGAUCAAGGAGCUGAACAUCGCCAAGGACUCGAGCGCUGAUCUGGAGCUGAAACUGGCCACCUUGACGGAGACGCUGGACGCCGCCAAGAGGCGAGAGGAUGACUUGAAGAAGGAGCUCAAGGGCAACGAGGAGUUGCCGACGAGGGCCGCCGAGACCCAGAACACCUUCAAGGCUACGGUGGAGCUCUGGACGGAGGGCCUCGUCAACAUCGCUGCAGCCAUCGACAAGGAGUUGGCGGAGCUGGACUUGGCGGGCUUCGGGUAGUCUACUGACGAAAACCUCCAGCCCAGCGCCAAGCUUACUCUCUUCUUCAAGGGCGUGGUGACGGCCCUCCAGCAACUCUGGGAAAGGAUCCCGAAGAACGAGGUCGCCUUCCUCGAAGCUUCUGGCAUUAACUUUGCGGCUAUGGUAGCGACGCAAAGCUUGCUGGUAACGAGCAGCUCGUACAGCAGCCUGAAGACGAUCCUCCUCGAGGAGCAGCGCGUCAUCUUGCCGCAGCUGCUCUUGCUCAAGCUCAUCAUAAGCAAGCACUCGAGGUGAUCCGUAUACGAGUUCCGUGGGGAGGACUGCCUCUGCUCCAUAGACAAGAGCAAAAGGUGUCUGGCCAGUGGCUCGAUUUGGUGUCGUCCUGAUCGACCAAAGAACCACUGGCAGCUCCUCGAUCCAAUUUCUUCCGCACUUAUGCAGCCUGUCGAAAGUUCUGGUCUUGAGCCCGCGCAGCACUUCAGCGUUUUCCCUCUCCGCUUGACCGUUGCUUCUCGGGUGAGCAACAGAAGCGAAGCAGAUCUUGGCGCCAAGAUCUUGGACGUACUGCAUGAAGGUGCGGCUCGUGACUUGUGUGCCAUUGUCGGUGAUGAUCCUGUUAGGGACUCCGAAACGGCAAACAAUUGACCUGAAGAACUUGACUGCUAACUGUGCUGUCACCUUCCUCACUGGUUCCACUUCAGGCCACUUUGUGAACUUGUCGAUUACAAUGUACAAGUACUCAAAGCCCCCGACAGCUCAGGGAAAGGGGCCAAGGAUGUGGAGCCCCCAGACCGGAAAUCGCCAGGAUAAAGGGAUUGUUUGGAGAGCUUGAGCUGGUUGAUGAAUCUGUUUGGAGUGGAACUGGCACGCUUCACACUUGGUUACUUAUGCAGUUGCAUCCUGGAGGACUGUCGGCCAGAAGAAACCUUGCCGGAAAGCCUUGCCGGCAAGUGCUCUUGCGCCAAUGUGGUGACCACAUAUGCCUCCAUGUAUCUCCGCCAACAGCUUCUGUCCAUCUUCCCGGGGAAUGCACUUCAAUUUCACUCCGUUGAAUCUUCUUCUGUACAGUAUGUCAUCGACAAACUGGUACAUACUUGAUUGCCGGGCUACUCUUUCCGCUUCUUGUUGCUCCUCGGGAAUUUCUCCUGUCUGAAGGAAAUGGACUAUUUGUUGUGCCCAUGUUGGAGCUUGUGGCUCGACAACAAGAACUAUAGGCGCAAAUGCUGCUGCGGGAACAUCCGCUUCUACGGCAAGUAUCUGAGAUCCUACCGGAGCGUGAUGCUCCCCGGCAAGCGUGUCGGGACACCGCUUGUCAGGAGCGUCUGCUUCAACGAAACAAACCCUAGGGCUUGUCGGAGCAGACUGCUCCUCAGCGCUUUCUGUGUUGAUCCUGGGGACCUUCUCGGCGGCGGCUCCGGGGAGCUCUGUCGGAAAGUAAUCGCCAGUAACCAACUUUCUCUUUUUGCUCUGUCCAACUGAUGAUGUCACAGAUGGUUGAGUCAGUUUGAGCACAAAAAUCCCUGGUUCCACAGGCAACUUAAGUGCGGCACAUUUUGACAGGCCAUCUGCAAUGUCAUUCUGAGCUCUUGGAAUGUGUUCCAUUUGUAGGCCGUCAAAAUGUUCUUCCAGCUUCCUCACUUCAUCAAUGUGAGCUUCCAUCAGCGAACUUUGAUAAUCUUUGUUUACUUGACGGACGACAAGCUGCGAGUCACCCCUGAUAAUAAGCUUCUUGAUCCCAAGCUCUCCUGCUAUUCUGAGUCCGGCAAGCAAGCCUUCAUACUCUGCAGUAUUGUUUGUUGCUUGCUCCUUGGGAAAAUGCAUCUGGACCAUGUACUUGAGGUGCUCUCCGGUGGGUGCGACAAGGAGUACGCCCGCACCGGCGCCUUGUCGAGAAGGCACCAUCAAAGUACAUGAUCCAUUCUUUGCUUGCUUCCUUGACGGGGAUGCUCUUCUCCGGAGUUUCUUCAUCGGGUGUUGGCGUCCAUUCUACUAUGAAUUCUACCAAUGCUCGGCUCUGAAUAGUUGAAGUACUUUCAAACUUGAGGCCAAAGCUUGACACUUCCAGUGCCCACUCGACGAUCCUGCCUGUUGCUUCUGGAUUCUGCAAUAUCCUCUUCAACGGAAAGCGAGUGACAACUGUGAUCUCGUGUGCUUGAAAGUAAUGGCGCAGCUUCCUCGAGGCCAUGAGUAGGCCGAAAAGCAACCUCUGCACACCAGAGUACCUUGAUCUAGCCCCCUGUAGAAGGGAACUGACAAAGUAAACUGGGCGCUACACCAUCUUCUUCUAUUUCUCUUCUUGUGGCUGCGCAGAUCCAUCCUUGCCGGAGCCAGAACUUGUCGGGGAAGCCCCCUGCUUGUCACUGGACUCGCUUGUCGCGGUUGCUGGCUCAUCAUCCGCCUCCCUCUCUGCAACUAACGCAGCACUAACCACUUGAUUGGUUGCCGCUAGGUAUAGCAGCAACUUCUCUUGUGGCUUAGGUGCGACAAGUGUUGGAGUAGAGGAUAGGUAUCUCUUCAAGUCCUGCAGCGCAGCCUCCGCUUCCGAAGUCCAUUUCAUUGGACCUGCCUUUUUCAAAACUUUGAAAAACGGCAGGGCGCGCUCAACAGACUUAGAGAUGAACCUACUGAGAGCAGCAACACAGCCGGCAAGUCUUCGCACAUCCUUGACGCGCUUCGGUGCUUCGAUCUGUUCAAUGUCUUUGAUCUUGUCGGGAUUGGCUUCAAUCCCUCUCUGAGAUACAAAGAAUCCGAGAAGCUUGCCGGAGGGAACUCCAAACACACACUUCUCGGGAUUUAACUUGAGAUUGAUCUUGCGCAGAUUUGUGAAGGUCUCGUCCAAAUCUUGGAUCAAAGUUGCUCUGUCUCUGCUCUUGACCACUAUGUCAUCCAUGUAAGCUUCUACAUUUCUGUGCAGCUGUGGCUCAAAAGCGUGACUGACUAGUCUUGCAAAUGUUGAACCGACAUUCUUCAGUCUGAAAGGCAUCCGUACAAAGCAGUACGUGCCACAUGGAGUAAAGAAUGCGGUUUUCUCUUCAUCCUCUUCUGCCAUGAAGAUCUGAUGAUAUCCUGAGUAUGCAUCAAGGAAUGAAAGCAGAUCACAUCCUGCCGUGGAGUCGACAAUCUGGUCAAUGCGCGUCAAGGGAAAUGGAUCCUUGGGACAAGCUUUAUUGUGAAGUCAAUACAAAGCCUCCACUUCCCGUUUGCUUUGCAGCCGACCACUGGAUUGGCUAACCACGUUGGAUGGAGUACUCCUCGGACCAGGCCUGCUGCUUCCAAUUUCUUGAUCUCCUCUGCAAUGAACUCUUGACGCUCCACUGCUUGUUUUCUGACUCUCUGCUUGACGGGCCGCGCGUGAGGGCAGACGGAAAGGUGGUGCUCAAUUACUCUCCUGGGAACACCGGGGAUGUCAGAUGGUUGCCAUGCGAACACAUCGACAUUCGCCCGCAGGAAAGCAACGAGUGCGCUUUCCUAUUUAGGAUCAAGCGUGGCACUGAUGGUGAAGGUAACACCAGUGCCGUCCUCCUUGGCGGCCACUUUCUUGGUCUCUGGUGAAGCUGUCUUUGCCUUGUUGCACUUGCCGGUGGAGCUCGAUGGUGCGUCCUCGACGGUAGCGCAGCACUCCGAAGAGGUGCGCUUGCCGGAGUGGGCAUCAGAGCUACUCUUGCCGGACUUGAUCUUCUUCUUCCCCCCGGGAGCUUCAGCGGCAAGUGGUUUGCGCUCUGCUGCGGCUGCUGCUUCCCGGUAGAUCUUGUCGGUACAGAUAAGUGCAUCCCUCUUGUCGCCUUGGACAGAAAUGACACUUAUCGAACCAGGCAUCUUGAGCACAUUGUAGGCGUAGUGAGAUGCUGCCAUGAACUUGGCAAGCGCCGGACGGCCGAGUAUCCCAUUGUAGGGCAAUGGGAAAUCAGCAACGUCAAAUGUGACUUUCUCUGUCCUAAAAUUCAGCUCGCUGCCAAACGUCACUGGCAGUGUGAUCUUCCCCUUCGGCUUGCUCCUUCCCGGGUUGAUUCCUUGAAAGGUACCAGUCUCUUCGAGCUCGCUGUCGGGGAUCUGGAGCUUCUUGAGCACCGCGGAAGAGAUCAGAUUCAGGCCGUCCCCGCUGUCAACCAACAUCUUCGUGACCUUGAGGUUGCGGAUUGUUGGCGAAACCAACAUCGGCAAACACCCGACCGCAGUGAUGCGAUCAGGGUGAUCCUCAACAUCGAAAAUGAUGGGCGUGCUGGACCACUUCAGGGGCUUGCGCGAUUCAACAGACGGUUCUGCUGCGUUCACUUCCCGCACCCACUGUUUGAGUUGGCGGUGCGAGGUGUGCAGACAGGCGCCGCCGUCGACGCACAAAAUCUCCGUUGCUUUCUGAAACUCUUGCUCGUCGAUCUCAUUUUCCUCCAUCUCAUCAUCCUCAUCUUCGUCUUCGACCUUGUCACAGCCACGGGGAGGCCUAUCUCCUUGCCGCUGCUUGGCCUUGCCGCGGCGCCCUCCCCGGGCGGGACGCUUGUUGCCGGAUCCUCCGCAACUUUCCCGGGACUUCUCCUUGUCGCGGCGCUCGUAUUCAGCUUUCUGUAGCUCCGCCAUCUGCUCAACUUUCUUGGAGGCUUGGAGGUCAUGGCCCUUGGUGCGGUGGAUCUUGCAAUACUGCUUGCCGGAGCUGUCCUGCUUGUCGGCGGCCACCACAGCCUCGCCGGAGUCACCAGCUUUGGCCUUGUCGGAGCCGCCUCUGUUGCCGGACUGCUCGACAACUAGCACAUCCUUUGCCUUUCUCUUUCUAUUAUUCCGCCUCCGGUUCUUCUUUGCCGGGGCGGCAUCCUCACUGUCAGAUCCUUCGGCUCCUGCGGUCUCUCCGGGGAUUUUCCUUCCCUCCUCAGCCCAUGCACACUUAUCGGCCAGAGCAUAUAGCUCGCUGACAUCUCUGAUCUUGCACAUCGCCAUCUCCUCCCUCAUCCUGCGGUUACGCACGUUCUGAUGGAACGCGCUGAUAACCGCGGCAGGGUGGACAUCUGGGAUGUUGCACUGCACCUGGCUGAAUCUCUGUAUGUACUUGCGCAGGGGCUCUCCCUCCUUCUGGACGAGCAGAUGAAGAUCGCUCUCCUGGCCAUGGGGUUUGUGGCCGCCUGUGAAGGCGCCGACAAACUGAUGACACAGGUCUGCCCAUGAAGAGAUGGAGUUGUCCGGCAAGUGCAUGAGCCAAGAUCUGACGUUGGGCUUGAGCACCAGCGGGAAGUAGUUGGCGAGGAUCUUCUCGUCGCGUCCCCCGGCAGCCUACACCACGAUGGUGUAGACGCUGAGGAACUCCGACGGAUGUAUCCUGCCAUCGUACUUCUCGGGUACGUCUGGCUUGAAGUUCUUGGUACUGGGCCACUGGACUUGCCGCAGCUCACGGGUGAACGCAUGGCAACUUCCCGCGUACGGCAAGUCGCCUGGUUCCCCUGGCACAUGCAUAUCGACAGUGGGCCCAGCGCGCUGGUCAGAUUGACGCCGCGCUUCUCUUCUGCGCUCGAUGCGAGUGCGAGCGUCUUCGUGUCGUCGUUCUUGGAGAACUUGGCGCUGAUCGCGGCGAGCUCGCGGGUCCGACGACGCGGUGGAGUCGGCGUCGAGGUUGGCCCGGCGAGUCGGCGAUCUUGGCCUUCGGGGCGGGGAGUGCACGGUGGUGGCACCCCCAGCGGUCUUGUCGGCAUCGGCUUGCACCUGGGUGUCUUGCCCGGGCUUCGAUGUGCUCGGUUGCCGGGGCUUGUUCCCGUUGGCGAAGCAAAUGAGGCUAUAAAUGGCGGCCCUCCACUCGUCGAUCUUGUCCAGCGCUGGAGGGUAAUCUAGAAGCAGCUGGGCUCGGGCCAGCGCUUUCUCUGGAGUCUUGGGUGGCGGUGGUGAGCGACGCGAGGUGCGAGACAUGCUCAAACUCCUAACAGUGUUAGAAGGAGCAGCAUCUCGUCCAGGCGACCGCACUGCGCUCGUGCCAGCGUGUUGAUGCGUAUGUUGGCCUUGAGCGUCCCGCGACCCACCAGCUUGGCCUUGUUCCAACGCGAGUACGGUGCUAGGAGCACCGUGGCGUUGUCGAUCCUGCACCUCCUGGGAGGGGUGCGGUGGAUGUGCAGACACUGAACCUUGCGGGGCCUUGUCCUUGGACCGGGUGACGACGUGAGUCCCACCGUCGGUGCCCGCUCCUCCGCCGGUGUCCACCCCACCGCCCGUUUGCUCCGGUGGCGGUAGGAUAGUCGCAGACGGAGCGGCCACCUCCGAAGUCUUCUUCUUCGGUGGCAUGUCGAUGAAGAUGUUGAUGUAGCGCGCGCAGACGCUGAAUCAGAUAUGCACGACCUCGACGCCCCCCUACCUGGCGCACCAAAGAUGUCGUGGCUGGGGACGAGCACCUAUGGGGCAGGGGGCCCCUUCUGGUCCGGCAAGGGAGCGGAGGGCACACACAGAGCAGAUCGAGGCGAGAGCAUGCGGGGGGAUUUUACCCAGCUUCGGAGCUCUCUGGAGAGAUAAAACUCCUACUGCUGCUUUGUGUUUGUAUUUGUUGUUGCUUGUGAGCGUGGGUAUGCUGUGGUGUCGAAUGGGUUGAAUGAACCGACCCCCCCCCCCCGAACCCUUUCUACGUGCGCAUGGGCCUCCCUUUUAUAGUCUAAAGGGGGUCACCGACAGGUGGCAGCGUAGAAAGAGGGGUAAAAGAGUAAAAACGCAGGUUGGUACAACUACUACCAACAGUGCCCCCUACCUAACUCUGACGGCAGGGGACAAGGGCAUUUAAUGCCCGUCCGGUCACUCCAACAGUGCAGGAAACGACCGUUAGGAGCGCCACCGAUUGCCACGAUGGCCUCCUUGUCAGCUUCGCUUGCCACCUCGCACCGCAUGGCUGCACAGCUAUCCGCCACGUGCACCAGGAGAGAUCCUGUGGCGACACGUCGUUGGAUGCGCUGGAGCCUGGGCGCAGAGUGGCAACCUUGCCGCGGCAAGCGCCUUGCCGUGGCCGUUGUCUUGUCGCACCCGCAAGCUUGCCGCUCGCCGGGCCUUGCCGGGACGCGCGAGGCGUCGCGGCAAGUUUUCUGAAGUGCCUUGGUUGGCCUUCCCGGCAAGCUCCUCUUGCCGGGGUCUUUGUCCUUCCCGGCAAGCUCCUCUUGCCGGGGCCUUGUCUUCAAAGUUAACACUUUGUUCUUGAAUGGCAGUAAUAUGAAUGGCGGAGGAUCUUGGCGGACGCCCGGCAAGCCUUGCCGCGGGACGCUGCGACUGCCCGUGCACAAGUUCGGGGUACUAAGGUACCCCUACUUUAGUACACCGGCGGGUUCAUCAGCGCCGGCCUCUUCCUCGCCAGUGGCGGCAUCUUCAGUAUUGCCGCGUGCGCCUUCCUCGCUGGUGGCCUCGAUCUCCAUCGGGUCUGCGAGAGGGGGCUCUGAGGACAGGAAGAGGAAGGAAAAGUCAAGCAAAUAUCCAAAAAAAAAGAAAAGAAGAAGAAAGAGGAUCAGAAAAAGGACCCAAGGGAAGAUUUCCGACAAGGUAGGUCACCUGUGCUCGGCUCUGUGACCAUGGGCUCCUCCAUCAAAGGCUCACUGGUUCCGUCCCUUGCCAGAGACCUCUCCCUUGCCGGGGAGCGCUCCCUUAUCGGGGAAUCACCCCUUGGCGGCGUAGUCGAAGCAGACAGCACCUCCGGGGCGGUUUCUGAUCGCUCCUGAUGAGCCUGCUCUGCUCCUACACGAAUGAAUCAGCAAUCAAGGUAUCAGCAAAAGAAGAAGCACCCAUGCGCGCCCCACAACAGAAAGUGAACCAAACACUUACGCUGGGGGCUGUGCUGGGGGCUGCUGCGAGGAGAAGGAACCGGGUCCGUCAAGGUAGUCUCGAACGUGUCCUCUGCCGUCACAGCAGGAUUGUCCUCGAUGAAAACCACUGGGACCUUGGCCCUCUUCGCCGCCCUCUCGGCCAGAGUCCUGAAAUGGAACAAAGAUUCAGAGGGAAGCAAGUCAGAUACAAGAUAAGCAACAACAAAGAUCAAAGAAAGACAAGUACAGUAAGAAGAAAGUCUUACUCCUCCUCCUCCUCCUCUUCAUCAUCAUCGGAGCUCAGCGCAGAGAGGUCGAAGUCCGGUACCCUCUCUGCGCGGUGUGGCGGAGGAGUGGGCUCCCUUGGACGUUUGCCGGGAGCCGCGGCAGGAUCGGGUGUGGUAGCCCGGGAAGACCCCACCUCGGUUGCCGGCGUGGCCUGAGAUGCUCCUGCGGCCCCGAACCCCUUUCUAUGUGCGCAUGGGCCUCCCUUUUAUAGUCUAAAGGGGGUCACCGACAGGUGGCAGCGUAGAAAGAGGGGUAAAAAGGUAAAAACGCGGGUUGGUACAACCACUAUCAACAGUGCCCCCUACCUAACUCUGACGGCAGGGGACAAGGGCAUUUAAUGCCCGUCUGGUCGCCCUAUUAGUGCAGGAAGCGACCGUUAGGGGUGCCACCGAUCGCCACGAUGGCCUCCUUGUCAGCUUCGCUUGCCACGAUGGCCUCCUUGUCAGCUUCGCUUGCCACGUGGCUGCACAGCUACCCGCCACGUGCACCAGGAGCGAUCCUGUGGCGACACGUCAUUGGAUGUGCUGGAGCCUGGGCGCAGAGUGGUGGCUUCGUUGCGGCAAGCGCCUUGCCGCGGUCGUUAUCUUGUCGCACCCGCAAGCUUGCCGCUCGUUGGGUCUUGCCGGGACGCGCGGAGCGUCGUGGCAAGUUUUCUAAAGUGCCUUGGUUGGCCUUACCGGCAAGCUCCUCUUGCCGGGGUCUUUGUCCUUCCCGGCAAGCUUCUCUUGCCGGGGUCUUGUCCUUCCCGGCAAGCUCCUCUUGCCGGGGCCUUGUCUUCUCAGUUAACACUUUGUUCUUGAAUGGCAGUAAUAUGAAUAGUGGAGGGUCUUGGCGGACGCCCGGCAAGCCUUGCCGCGGGAUGCUGCGACUGCCCGUGCACUAGUUCGGGGUACUAAGGUACCCCUACUUUAGUACACCGACAGUCUCUUUGAGCUUAGAGAUGCUGCAGUCCGUUAUCAGCUUCUCCAACUUCCACCUCAAGCUUUAGGCAAUGAUCUCUUUGUCCAUUUUAUGAAGCAUGAUGAGGGACAAGCUUUUAGUGGCACUUAGGGUUUUUGUUAGGGUCUGCUCAUGUUCUUGGGAAUUCCUGUGGAUCUUUGCAACACUAAGAACAUCAGGGCGGCAGUGAACACUUUUGUCAAGUUCCACCAUUGGGACAAUGAGGAUCCGUACCUUGUAAGAACCUUGGUGUUUGUUUCAUUCCCUGAAGAUAUUCUUGUGCCGCGGGAUGUGGUUUUUAUGGAUUAUGCGGCCUGGGGGUGCUCAAGUUUCUUGGACAGUUCCCCUCUACAUACUUGGAACUAACUUUGCUGAGCAAAUGCCCCAAGAUGAGGAUUGGAUGCCCAUCAAUGGCAAUCCACAUCCAUUGCCUGGUGUGCCUUUUUCUGAGAUGCCACCGUUUAUCCUACCCCCAUUCCCAGCAUUGGGUUAGAAUGAUGUCCCCCCUCUGUAGCAACCAGCACAUGAUGAGGAUGGAAAUGAUAAUUGGGGCAUCUGGAAUGAAACUGAAGAGCAGCCAGUAGUUGAGGAUCAAGAGUCAAUGGUUGUGGAUAUGUCUGAGCAACCUAGUUCUGAGGCACAACAACAAGUUCGGCCAGUACCAUUGAUUCACAUUGAUGAGGAGCAGCCAUAAGAACCUGAUGUGGCUAUGGUGGAUCUCCAGGCCGAUGAGGAGGCCAACAACUAGGCCAUUGCGGCUUAUCAACCUCCUGUGGUUUGCGAGCCACCAUCAUUGAAUAUUCAGUUUGUUGUUGUCCCUUUUGGGCCCACAUUGCCUCCAGAGAUGAUUUGGAGGAUGUCAUUUGAGAAUCUCUUGGAAGCUCCAAUAGUAUUUGAAGUACCAAAGCCUUUGCUAAUUCAACCUUCAUCUCCUGUGGUCCUUCUAAAGAGAAACUAGUAUCUAGGUUUUAGUCAGGAUGGUCUUCCUCUAUUUACCUAGAAAGAACAAGAACCAGUCAGGCUGGUUGCUAGGGCUCUCUUUACUGAGGACAUGCAGCAGAAACCAACUGCAGAGGCAGUUUCUUCCUCUGUUCUGGGAAAGAAAGGGAGGAGGCCCCACAAGACCUUGGUGCCAACACCAAUUGUUGAAACAUCUGUCAGAAGGUGCACUAGGGCUUCAGUCUAGUGUGAUGGGUGAUACGUCUCCAACAUGUCUAUAAUUUUUAUUGUUCGAUGCUAUUAUAUUAUCUUUUUUGGAUGUUUAAUAGGCAUUUAUAUGCUAUUUUAUAUUAUUUUUGGGACUAACCUAUUAUCCGAGAGACAGUGCUAGCUUUUGGUUUUUUGUCUGUUUUAGAGUUUCGCAGAAAAGGAAUACCAAACGGAGUCCAAACGGAACGAAACUUUUGCGAUGAUCUUUCUUGGACCAGAAGCAAACCGGGAGACUUGGAGAUGAAGUCAGAGAUGCAACGAGGAGGCCACGAGGGUGGAGGGCGCACCCAGGGGGUAGGGCGCGCCCCUGCCUCAUGGGCCCCUCGUGGGUCUCCUGACCUAGUUGCUUCGCCUAUAUAUAUUAUUGUACCCAAUAAACCUCCAAGGGAGCCACGAAACCACCUUUCCAUCGCCGCAACCUUCUGUACCCGUGAGAUCCCAUUUAGGGGCCUUUUCCGGUGUCCUGCCGGAGGGGGAUUCGAUCGUGAAGGGCUUCUACAUCAACACCAUUACCCUUCCGAUGAAGCGUGAGUAGUUUACCACAGACCUACGGGUCCAUAGCUAGUAGCUAGAUGGAUUCUUCUCUCUCUUUGAUUCUCAAUACCAUGUUCUCCUCGAUGUUCUUGGAGAUUUCUUUGAUGUAAUAUUCUUUUGCGGUGUGUUUGUCGAGAUCCGAUGAAUUGUGGAUUUAUGAUGAGAUUAUCUAUGAAUACUAUUUGAGUCUUCUGUGAACUCUUAUAUGCACGAUUUGAUAUCUUUGCAAGUCUCUUCGAAUUAUCGGUUUAGUUUGGCUUACUAGAUUCGUUUUUCUUGCAAUGGGAGAAGUGCAUAGCUUUGGGUUCAAUCUUAAGGUGUCCUUUCCCAGUGACAGUAGGGGCAGCAAGGCACAUAUUGUAUUGUUGCCAUCGAGGAUAGAAAGAUGGGGUUUUCAUCAUAUUGCUUGAGCUAAUUCCUCUACACCAUGUCAUCUUACUUAAUGCAUUACUCCGUUCUUUAUGAACUUAAUACUCUAGACACGUGCUGGAUAGCGGUCGACGUGUGGAGUAAUAGUACUAGAUGCAGAAUUGUUUCGGUCUACUUGACACGGACGUGAUGCCUAUGUUCAUGAUCAUUUCCUUAGAUAUCGUCAUAAUUAUGCAUUCUUCUAUCAAUUGUUCGGCAGUAAUUUGUUCACCCACCAUAAUAUUUGCUAUCUUGAGAGAAGCCACUAGUGAAAUCUAUGGCCCCUGGGUCUCUUUUCCAUCAUAUAAGUUCUCUUUUACAUCAUACUAGUUUCCGAUCUACUAUUUUGCAAUCUUUUACUUUCUGAUCUAUAAACGAAAAAUACCAAAAGUAUUUACUUUACCAUUUAUCUAUCUCUAUCAGAUCUUACUUUUGCAAGUAACCGUGAAGGGAUUGACAACCCCUUUAUCGCAUUAGGUGCAAGUUGUUGAUUGUUUGUGAAGGUAUUCGGUGACUUGUGCGUUGUCUCCUACUGGAUUGAUACCUUGGUUCUCAAACUGAGGGAAAUACUUACUCUACUUUGCUGCAUCACCCUUUCCUCUUCAACAAUCCCUAUGGAAAUUUUAAUAAGAUGCCCUCUGAUUUUGAGAAUAGUGUUAAAUAAUUUAUUAGUUCGAAAAAGAAUUUUAAUGCUUUGAUUGAAGAAAAAUUUCUGAAGAUUGAUGAUUUGGGUAGGAACGUGGAUAUAAUUUCUGAAGAUUGAUGAUUUGGGUAGAAACUUAGAUCUAUCCCACCUAAGCAUGAUAUCAAUGAGUCUCUCAAAGCCAUGAUAAUUUCCAUUGAUGAGUGCAAAGAAAGAACCACUAAGAUGCGUCCUAAAAAAGUUUGGUUUGUAAAAGCGUGUUCUUCUAGUUUUCAUGAUAAUAAUCAUGAAGAUCUAAAAGUUAUUGAUGUGACUCCUAUUGAUUCUUUGUUUUUCAGUAUUAAACUUGAUAAAUAUGGGACUAGAGAUGAGUCAAAUUUAGUUAAAAGGUGUCCCAAUGAUUCAGAGUUUUUAGAUCUAGAUGAAAAAAUUGAUAGAAGUGGGAUUGGAGAGGUCAUGACUUUAAGUAGAAAUGAUCCACUCUUUUGGAUUUCAAGGAAUUUAAUUAUGAUAAUUGUUCUUUAAUAGAUUGUAUUUCCUUGUUGUAAUCCGUGUUGAACUCUCCUCAUGCUUAUAAUCAAAACAAAGCUUUUACUAAACAUAUCGUUGAUGCCAUGAUGCAAUUAGAAGUUUCUAUCCCUAGAAAACUUUAUGAUAAGUGGGAACCUACUAUUAAGACUAAGUUUAAAUAUUAUGAGUACCAUGCUUUGUGUGAUUUGGGUGCUAGUGUUUCCACGAUUCCAAAAACUUUGUGUGAUGUGUUAGGUUUCCGUGAAUUUGAUGUUUGUUCUUUAAAUUUGCAUCUUGCGGAUUCCGCUAUUAAGAAACCUAUGGGAAGGAUUAAUGAUGUUCUUAUUGUUGCAAAUAGUAAUUAUGUGCCCGUAGAUUUCAUUGUUCUUGAUAUAGAUUGCAAUCCUACAUAUCCUAUUAUUCUUGGUAGACCUAUCCUUAGAACGAUUGGUGCAAUUAUUGAUAUGAAAGAAGGAAAGAUUAGAUUCCAAUUUCCAUUAAGGAAAGGCAUGGAACAAUUUCCUUGCAAGAAAAUUAAAUUUCCAUAUGAAUCUAUUAUGAGCGCCACUUAUGGAUUGCAUACCAAAGAUGAAAAUACUUAGAUCUAUUUGCGUUUUUAUGCCUAGCUAAGGGCGUCACACAAUAGCACUUGUUGGGAGUCAACACAAUUUUAUUUUUGUUCUUUGUUUUUUGUUCCUGUUUAGUAAUAAAUAAUUCAUCUAGCCUCUGGUUAGAUGUGGUUUUAUGUUUUAAUUAGUCUUUGUGCCAAGUUAAACAUUUAGGAUAGCUUACGGUGAUAGUUGUGUUGAUCCUGCUGAAAAUAAGAAACUUUUGCGCCCAGUCAAUUAGUUUUCAUAAUUCAGAGAAACAUGAUUUUGAGUUGAUUGUUUUUGCUCUGGAUUGGUACAGAAAUUGCUCAUGUUGUCCUAUUUUACCAAGAUAUUUGGAGUUACGGAAGUAUUUGGGAGUUACUAAUUACUACAGACUAUUCUGUUUUUGACAGAUUCUUUAUUUUUGCAUGUUGCUUGCUUAUUUUGAUNNNNNNNNNNNNNNNNNNNNNNNNNNNNNNNNNNNNNNNNNNNNNNNNNNNNNNNNNNNNNNNNNNNNNNNNNNNNNNNNNNNNNNNNNNNNNNNNNNNNNNNNNNNNNNNNNNNNNNNNNNNNNNNNNNNNNNNNNNNNNNNNNNNNNNNNNNNNNNNNNNNNNNNNNNNNNNNNNNNNNNNNNNNNNNNNNNNNNNNNNNNNNNNNNNNNNNNNNNNNNNNNNNNNNNNNNNNNNNNNNNNNNNNNNNNNNNNNNNNNNNNNNNNNNNNNNNNNNNNNNNNNNNNNNNNNNNNNNNNNNNNNNNNNNNNNNNNNNNNNNNNNNNNNNNNNNNNNNNNNNNNNNNNNNNNNNNNNNNNNNNNNNNNNNNNNNNNNNNNNNNNNNNNNNNNNNNNNNNNNNNNNNNNNNNNNNNNNNNNNNNUAAAGAAUGAGUUUGCAACAGUACCUUAAUGUGGCGGUUUAUUUUCUUAUACUAACAGAGCUCAUGAGAUUUUCUGUUGAGUUUUGUGUUGUGAAGUUUUCAUGUUUUGGGUAAGGAUUUGAUGGACUAUGGAAUAAGGAGUGGCAAGAGCCUUAGAUUGGGGAUGCCCAAGGCACCCCAAGGUAAUAUUCAAGGACAACCAAAAGUCUAAGCUUGGGGAUGCCCCGGAAGGCAUCCCCUCUUUCGGCUUUGUCUAUCAGUAACUUUACUUAAGGCUAUGUUUUUAUUCACCACAUGAUAUGUGUUUUGCUUGGAGCGUCUUGUAUGAUUUGAGUAUUUGCUUUUUAGUUUACCACAAUCAUCCUUGCUGUACACAUCUUUUGGGAGAGACACAUAUGAAUCGUGAUUUGUUUGAAUACUCUAUGUGCUUCACUUAUAUCUUUUGAGCUAGACAAUAUUGCUCUAGUACUUCACUUAUAUCUUUUUAGAGCACGACGGUGGAUUUAUUUUGUAGAAAUUGUUGAACUCUCAUGAUUCUAUAUUAUUUUGAGAGUCUUUUAGAACAGCAUGGUAUUUUGCUUUGGUUAUAAAUUUUGUCCUAAUAUGAUGGGCAUCCAAGAGGGAUAUAAUAAAAACUUACAUAUGAAGUGCAUUGAAUAGUAUGAGAAGUUUGAUUCUUUAUGAUUGUUUUGAGAUAUGAAGAUGGUGAUAUUAGAGUCAUGGUAGUGGAGUAGUUGUGAAUUUGAGAGAUACUUGUGUUAAAGUUUGUGAUUCCCGUAGCAUGCACGUAUGGUGAACCGUUAUGUGAUGAAGUUGGAGCAUGAUUUAUUUUUUGAUCCUUAUGAGUGGCGAUCGGGGAUGAGCGAUGGUCUUUUCCUACCAAUCUAUCCCCCUAGGAGCAUGUGCGUAGUACUUUGUUUGAUAACUAAUAGAUUUUUACAAUAAAUUUGUGAGUUCUUUAUGACUAAUGUUGAGUCCAUGGAAUAUACACACUCUCGCCCUUCCACCAUUGCUAGCCUCUCUAGUACCAUGCAACUUUCGCCGGUACCAUACACCCACCAUAUACCUACCUCAAAACAGCCACCAUACCUACAUAUUAUGGCAUUUCCAUAGCCAUUCCGAGAUAUAUUGCCAUGCAACUUUCCAUCAUUAUGUUUAUUAUGAUACACUUCAUCAUAGUCAUAUUUUCUUUGCAUGAUCAUGUAGUUGACAUUGUAUUUGUGGCAAAGCCGCCAUUUAUAAUUCUUUCAUACAUGUCACUCUUGAGUCAUUGCACAUCGCGGUACACCGCCGGAGGCAUGCACAUAGAGUCAUAUUUUGUUCUAAGUAUGGAGUUUUAAUUCUUGAGUUGCAAGUAACUAAAAUAGUGAUGAUCUUAAUUAUUAGAGCAUUGUCCCAUGUGAGGAAAGGAUGAUGGAGGCUAUGAUUCCCGCAGAAGUCGGGAUGAGACUCCGGACAAAAAAAAGGAGGCCAUAAAAAAAGAGAAAGGCUACAAAAAAUAUAAAAAAUGAGAGAAAAAGAGAGAAGGGGCAAUGUUACUAUCCUUUUUCCACACUUCUGCUUCAAAGUAGCACCAUGAUCUUCAUGAUAGAGAGUCUCCUAUUUUGUCAAUUUCCUAUAUUAGUGGGAAUUUUUCAUUAUAGAACUUGGUAUGUAUAUUCCAAUGAUGGGCUUCCUCAAAUUUCCCUAGGUCUUCUGAGAAAGCAAGUUGGAUGCACACCCACUUAGUUUCUUUUUGAGAUUUCAUACAUUUAUAGCUCUAGUGCAUCCGUUGCAUGGCAAUCCCUACUCACUCACAUUGAUAUGUAUUGGUGGGCAUCUCCAUAGCCCAUUGAUUCACCUAGUUGAUGUGAGACUAUCUUCCUCCUUUUUGUCUUCUCCACAACCACCAUAUUCUAUUCCACCAUUGUGCUAUAUCCAUGGCUCACGCUGAUGUAUUGAGUGAAGAUUGAAAAUUUUUGAGAACACCAAAAGUAUGAAGCAAUUUCUUGGCUUGUCAAUGGGUUGUGCAUGAUUUAAAAAUUUUAUGUGAUGAAGAUAGAGCAUAGCCAGACUAUAUAAUUUUGUAGGGAUAGCUUUCUUUGGCCAUGUUAUUUUAAGAAGACAUGAUUGCUUUGUUAGUAUGCUUGAAGUAUUACUGUUUUUAUGUCAAUAUUAAACUUUUGUUUUGAAUCUUUCAGAUCUGAACAUUCAUGCCACAAUAAAGAAAAUUACAUGGAUAAAUAUGUUAGGUAGCAUUUCAAAUAAAAAAUUCUGUUUUUAUCAUUUACCUACUCGAGGACGAGCAGGAAUUAAGCUUGGGGAUGCUUGAUACGUCUCCAACGUAUCUAUAAUUUUUGAUUGUUCAUGCUAUUAUAUUAUCUAUUUUGGAUGUUUAAUAGGCAUUUAUAUGCUAUUUUAUAUUAUUUUUGGGACUAACCUAUUAACUGAGAGCCUAGUGCCAGUUUAUUUUUUUUGCCUAUUUUAGAGUGUCGCAGAAAAGGAAUACCAAAUGGAGUCCAAAUGGAACGGAACUUUCGCGAUGAUCUUUCUUGGACCAGAAGCAAACCAGGAGACUUGGAGAUGAAGUCCGAGACGCAACGAGGUGGUCAGGAGGGUGGAGGGUUGGCCGAGGGGGGGUAGGGCGCGCCCCUACCUCGUGGGCCCCUCGUGGGUCUAGUGACCUAGUUCCUUCGCCUAUAUAUACUCUUAUACCCCAAAAACAUCCAGAGGAGUGAUGAUCCACAAGUGUAUGGGGUCAAUUUUAGUCCUUUUCGAUAAGUAAGAGUGUCGAAGCCAACAAGCAGUAGAAGAAAAUGACAAGUGCUCUGCAACAAGGUAAUGUCUGCAAGUGCUAAAAUUGUGAGUAGCGGAGUAGUUUGAUAGCAGGAUAAUUUGUAACGAGCAAGUAACAAUAGUAGUAACAAAAGUGCAGCAAGGUAGCCCAAUCCUUUUGAUGCAAAGGACAGGCCAAAAUGGUUUCUUAUGAUAAGCAAAGUGUUCUUGAGGGUACACGGGAAUUUGAUCUAGUCACUUUCAUCGUGUUGGCUUAAUUCUUGUUCGGUACAUUGAUAAUUUGAUAUGUGGGUGGACCUGUGCUUAGUUUUGUUCUUACUUGAACAAACCUCCUACUUAUGAUUAACCCUCUCGCAAGCAUCUGCAACUACAAAAAAAGUAUUAAGAAUAAAUUCUAACCAUAGCAUUAAACUUUUGGAUCCAAUCGGUCACUUACGAAAUAGCGCAUAAACUAGGGUUUAAGCUUCUCUCUCUCUCGCAACCCACCAUCUAAUAACUACUCCAUAAUGCAUUCCCUUAGUCCCAAAUAUAGUGAAGUGUCAUGUAGUCGACGUUCACAUGACACCACUAAGAGAAUGGCAACAUACAUAUCAUCAAAAUAGAAAACACAUAUCAAGUUCACAUGAUUACUUGCAACAUGAUUUCUCCUAUGACCUCAAGAAUGAAAGUGACUACUCACAAAUGAUAAACGUGAUCAAGAUCAGAGGAGUAUUAAAUAGCAUAAUGGAUCUGAACAUAUAAUCUUCCACCAAAUAAACCAUAUAGUAAUCAACUACAAGAUGUAAUAAACACUACUAGUCACCCACAAGGACCAAUCUAUAGUUUUGAUACAAAGAUUGAACACAAGAGAUGAACUAGGGUUUGAGAGGACUUGGUGUUGUGAAGAUGUUGAUGAAGAUAGCCCUCCCCAAGAUGGGAGAGUUGUUAGUGAUGAUGAUGACGAUGAUUUCCCCCUCCAGGAGGUAAGUUCCCCCGGCGGAAUCGCUCCACCGGAGGGCAAAAGUGCUCCUGCCCAAGUUCCGCCUCGAGGCGGCGGCGCUUCGUCCCAAAUGUCCGCCCCUUAUUUUUUCUAGGUCAAAAUGACUUAUAUAGCAGAAGAUGGGUACCAGAGGUGCGUCGAGGAGGGCAGCACCCACCAGGGUGCGCCCGGGCCUCCGGGCGUGCCCAAGUGGGUUGUGCCCACUUGGUGGCCCUCCUCUGGUAAUUAUUUGCUCCAAUAUUCAUUAAAUAUUCCAUUAAAAAUCCUCGGGGAGUUUCAGCUCAUUUGGAGUUGUGCAGAAUAGGCAACUUGACGUAGCUUUUUCAGGUCCAGAUUUCCAGUUGCCAGAAUUCUCCCCCUUGAUGCGUACCUUGCAUAUUAUCAGAGAAAAGGCAUUAGAAUUACUCCAAAAGUAUUAUUAUGCCAUAAAACAACAUAAAUAACAAUAGGAAAACAUGAUGCAAAAUGGACGUAUCAACUCCCCCAAGCUUAGAACUCGCUUGUCCUCAAGCGAAAACCAAAAUCGAAAAACAUGUCCAUAUGCGUGUCGAUAAAAACAAAAAUAUGGACAUGGAAGCAUCAUUUGACUUAUUAUAACAGCAACAAACUUCAAUAUAAAACUUUUAUCAUAACACUUUUAUCAUAGACUUCUCAUGAACAAGUGACAAUUCAUCAAAACAUUGAAGUAUAAAGCAUAAACUCUAUUGGAAACCAACAAACUAUGUUCUCAGCCAAUUUUGCAACUACAAUUCAUGAUCUUUUCAGGAAGGGUCACGUAUCGGAGCCUUUAGGCAAGUCCACAUACUCAACCAUCAUUUAGUCUUCUAUGAUUGCUAACACUCACCGUGUACACAUGAGCAAAACGUUUCAACCGGACACAAAGAAAGAUAGGGGCUUAUAGUUUUGCCUCCCCACACACUCACCACAAGGAUGAUGUCAACAAUAAUAACUUAUGCCACCCAUAUUCAACUGGACAUAUGUGCCUAGAUAUUUCCUCACCACAUGAUGCUUGCCAGAGGAGAAAAACUAAAGGAAUAGAGAGAAAAACUUUGACUCUUGCAUGAAAGUAAAUACAUGAAAGUAAAAGAUAUGCCCUUCACAGAGGGAAGCAGAGUUUGCCACGUGCCUUUUGUUUGUAUGCUAAACACCUUAGUGCAAGAGAACGUCACGUUAUAUUGCCCCUUGUGAUGGCAACCUUUAUUAUGCAGACUGUCGCUUUUAUUCUUCACCAUCACAAGUUCAUACAACGCUCAAUUUUCCCUUACACUAAAUGAUCUCACAUUUUUAUAAGAAAUUUUUAUUGCCCUUUUUGCACCGGUGACAACUUACUUGAAGGAUCUUACUCAAUCCAUAGGUAGAUAGGGUGGACUCUCAAACAAGAUAGGGUCUAAGGGUUUUGGAUGCACAAGUAGUAUCUCUACUUAGUGCAGAGUUUUUGGCUAGCAAAGAUAGGGCAACCACCACAUGUUGAAGGAUCUAUGACAAUAUAACUUCUAUGUGAAUAUGAACAAACACAAAUCAUUAAGUUGUCUUCCUUGUCCAACGUCAAUAAUUUUGGCAUAUAAUAUUUUGAUGGGUGCUCACAAUCCUAAAAGAUCUCCAUGAUAGUAUAUUUAUAUGUGAAUCUUCUCUUCCCUUAUUAAUUCUUUCAUGUGUUGCAUCAUGGACCAAUGCUAUGUUUGCCAAUCUACAAUAAAAUUUUCUACUUAAACUUUUCCUUGUGUAAUGUCAUCACCUACCAUAAGAUUAGCAUAUGAUCUUUUCUUUUUAUUUCCUUUCUUUUUAUUGCUACAAGAAACUAAAGAAGGCAAUACUCAAACUAAACUUUAUUAUAUAUCUCGCACACGGUUACAAGGAUUGAUCACUAAGCGAACUCACAAAAAGAAAAGAUCAAAUUAAACAUUUAUUCAUCUAAUAGCAAAAGAUAACCAUUGAUCGAACUAAGAAAGUAAAGGCAAAAGAUAGUGGAGAUUGAUACGAUACCGGGGCAUCUCCCCCAAGCUUGGCUAAAGCCAAGGGGAUUGCCCAUACCCAAUACUUAGUUUUCUAUUGAUGGUGAUGAAGAAGAUGGUGGUGAUGAAGUAGAAGGUUUCUUGUCCUCGGGUUUUCAUGGAUGAGGCUUACCAUCAUAAGAGGAGGAGCAGGUCUCUUGGAUCCUGCAACUGGCAGCAAAACUCAUACCUUUAAACCUGGCGUCAUAUUCAAAGACCUGGCUUUGAAGAUCGUGGAUCUGGCUAUGGAGGAAGUUGAUUUGCUCGUUGAGGGAGAAGAUGUCCUUUAUGGGCAUGCCAUCCACCUUGAGAUCAUGGGUAUAGUCCGUGAUCACGAGGUGAUUGGCAUUGAGUCCACGCUCUACCAUCCCCUUGCACUUGAAGAUGUCCUGCUCCAUCACUCCUAGCCUAGCCUACACGGAUCCAGUCCCCGUGGGUCCUUGCACAUCGUGGAUGUGCAGCACCCCAUCACGCAUCUGGAUAGCUUGAGGGUGCUGCAUCACCUUCCGCAAAUAUGGGUUGAUGACGUUGUCGAAGAACUUGUCCUUGGAGGAGCUUGAAGCGGCCAUGGUGGAUUGGAUCUAACAAAAAACAACAAGAAAAGAAAACAGGGGAUUUCUCCGUGAUAUGGAGGUUAACAGGUUCGGGAGGUAUAUAUAGCUUUUUUUAUCUUGGGAAACAAGCAAACGGAAGAAAACGGAGUCCGGAAAGUACCCGGGGUGGGCACAACCCACCUGGGCGCGCCAGGCAAGCCUGGCGCGCGCUAGUGUAUCGUGCCCACCAGGGUUGUCGGCAUCCUGGAUUCAGGGGUAUCCAGCCCUACCUUCCUGCGGCCCACCACAUGGCUCCAUCGACGGCCUGGUACGGCCCAGCUUCAACACCAACACCACAAGAGCCUCGCAAGGGGCCAAGCCUCGCGAUGUGGGCAACACCAAGACCCCCGAAGGAAUUGGCCUCCUUAGGAGGGCUCCUGAGGGACGGAGAGUUUUAUGGAAGUUACCUCACAAGGCUCAGCUGACGUAAGCCAUGACGACCAAGGCCAGGCUAGCACCAGGCGAGCGCAGAGUGUAGGUUUCCUCUUCGGUGCAAAGGAGGCAAGCCACAGGUGCGGAGUCCCGAGGAAUCAGCCAAAGGUUUCCAUUUUGGUGCAACAAGACCAAGACCGCCAUGAUGGCAGGACGGAGGUCAUCAAUGAUCCCACCACAGCGUCACGACCAGAGGCUUUUCGCAGGCGAAGACUACUUUUGUAAGGAUAGACUGUACUACUUGUCCCCUUUCAAAUCCCGCCGUUGUGGGAUCCCUUCUCGCUCAUAUUUGGGAAGAGGACCAAGGCCACUAUAUAUAGGACUUAGCCACCACCAUAGUAGGGAGAUCCAUUCUCACCCGACCACCACACCAGAUCAAGAACAACUCACCUCCUAAGGCUUGUUCAUCCACUGUACUUGUUCAUCCGCAGCCUGCAAGGAAAUCCACCACACCACACUGGAUUAGGGUAGUACACCACAACGGUGGCCCAAACCAGUAUAAACCUAUGUGUCUUUGUGUCUCUUUGAGCUCGACGCGCUAGGCUUAGGAGGAUCACGAGUAGGCAGGCUGGGCAGGUUGAGAUCUCCGCAUGCACCCUAGAGUUCGAACCUCUCAAGGGAUGCCGGAUCCCUAAAUCCGACAUUUGGCGCGUAUGGCUCCACGGCACGACCCGCAGCGCCCGGCGCCUACUCGGAGCGACGUGAGCUGCCAGGUGGUGCAGCAUCCCCAAGGAGAAGCGCGCGUGCUUCCAGCACCCCAGCACCAGGCUCGUGUGCCGCCGCAGGUGGUGGCGGUGCGCGUGCACCAGGAUCAUGUUCCACCCCCUCAAUGACCUCCGAUGGCCACGGUAGGAUGCCGCGUAUUCACUCCGGAGCUCCGCAACAUCGUCUAGCCGAGCAAAUUCAAGCCCGACCUGCCUCCAUGCUACGAUGGCACCACAGACCCCGCCGAAUUCCUAUAGCUCUACGAGCUGAGCAUCGAGGCGGCCAACGGCGAUGAGAAGAUCAUGGUAAACUGGUUCCCGAUGGUCCUCAAGGAUGGCGCACGUUCUUGGCUCCUGAACCUGACCGAGAGAGCGGUUUCUUCCUGGGAGGAGAUGCGCAGCCACUGCAUUGCCAACUUCCAGGGCACUCGCGACCGUCGCCGGCCGCGGGUGACAUGCGACACAUCAAGCAGCAACCUAGAGAGACCCAGCAGAAGUAUAUCCAGUGCUUCAACAACGUUCGCCUCAAGAACCCAAGGUGUCGGACGAGGCCAUUAUCUCCGCGUUCACCCAUGGCGUCCGCGAUGUCAAGAUGAAGGAGGAGCUCGCCAUCCACGAGGAUCUUUGCACCGCUCUGGAGAUGUUCAACAUGGCGAACAAGUGCACAAGGGCUGAGGAGGGACGGCUCUCCCUCCUUGAGCUCCCCAAUACUGAGCCAGAAGACAAGAAGACCAAGACUAAGGACGUGAAGCGCAAGGGGCCAGCCGUGCUUGCGGUCGAACCAGAGACAAAGCGCGGCUGCGACCACCCCAAGUCGUCCAAGCACAAGCGGUCGUUCUGCCCCUUCCACAACGUUUACAGCCACGACACCAGCGACUGCCAAAAGCUCAGGGCUCUCCGUGACGGGCGCCUCGGUUGACACCCGGAGUGCAACGAUCAAGGUUAUGGUCGCGUAGGUGGCCGAGGUGGAGGACGCUGGGACGGACGCGACCAUCGUUAGGAGUGGCACGACCAGCCUCGUGAGGACCGCUGGCAGGACCAGCCUCGCGACGGUAACUGGGGGAGCAGCCUCGUGAGGAUCGACCUUAGGGCAAUGCAGCCUUGCCUCCUCUGCCUCCACCGCCGAGGAGGAAUGAAGAUCACCACCAGGACGAGGGGGCUGGGGGCUUCCUGGAGCCUCGGGCCAUUGUCUGCAUCUUGGGCGCCUCACGGACGGCUUCCCACCGCGUCUUCAAGCAGUUCGCGCGCGAGGUGAAUGCAGUCCUCCCCAAGCUUGAAGCAACUCGCCCACUCAAGUGGUCCAAGUGCGCCAUCACCUUCGACUCCACGGACCGGCUCAAGUGUGCGGCUACUGCUGGCACACUACCCAUACUUUGCUCCCAUGUCAUCAGCAACGUGGUCGUCACCAAGACUCUCAUCGAUGGCGGAGCAAGGCUCAAUGUUCUCUCUGUUCAGACGUUCGACAGGCUCCAGGUGCCAUACUACCAGCUCCACCCCACCAAGCCAUUCUUAGGAGUGACCGAUGGAUCGACACACCCGAUCUGGCAGGUUCGCCUCCCUAUCACCUUCGGCGAGCUCAACAACUACCACACCAAGCUCAUCGACUUCGACGUCGCCGGCAUCUGCUUACCCUACAACGCCAUCCUAGGGUACCCAGCACUGGCCAAGUUCAUGGCGGCCACGCACCAUGGCUACAAUGUCCUCAAGAUGCCAGGAAGCAGCAACGUCAUCAUGGUCGCCUAUCAGGAGAAGGUUGCGGUGUGCUCCCUCAAGCACUCCUUCUAGGCUGCAGCAGUCGAGAACCCUGAAGACGAUGACGGUGCCCUCCCUCCUGAGGUCGCCCCCAAGAGGAAGAAGCUGCAGCUAGGACAGGGGUCUCGUGAGGGAGCAUCACUCGAGGACACAGCUCUGAGCCUUGCGUCUCCAGACACGGCACCUUCACCCAUCGCAUAGGAAGGCGUUCCCGACGCUCCUCUCAGGUUGGGCUCGGGGGCUCUCCUUUAGAGGGCCUCAGAUCUAGCCAAUGUUAUGAGGGAGGCGCUCGAUCACCAUGUGGAGGCGGUCUUCAGAGCACACUUCCCAAGAGAAGGCAGCAGGAGUGAGGCACAAGGCGUUCAGGAGUUCAUCAGCAAGGCAAUCAAGAAGAUUCAGGAAGGAAGGGUUCUACAAGGCCAUCACCACCUGCCGCUUGGUGGAGCUCACUGCCCUAGUGAGGGUAAGGAGUUCCGAUUCUGCAUCGACAUCCCCGGGCUCAACCGGGCCGCGUCUUAGCAGCUCAUGUGGUCGUCUCAUGUCGGCCGAUGCGAGGGUCCACCUCAUAGCUACGUCCGCAUGCCUUUUGGCCUAGCGGGCGCGGUAGAAGCAUUCCAGCACUGCAUGAGGGACGACCAGAUAGCCUGCGAGGCCAGGAACCAGGCGAUCCAGGCAGAGGUGGAGGAGCACCUUCAGGAGGCUCUCGGCCCCUCCGAGUCUCCCGAGGCUUGCUGCCGGAGUGGCUCAUGAGGAAUGGAUUCAGCGGCACGCGUUUUUUGGCUACUUCAACACCUCUUCAACCACAGUACCAGGUGACAUCUCUCUAGUUCAUUCAGUUUGGGGGCGCCCCUCGGGCUGCACCAUCCCCAGGCCGUGUGGGUCCGUCCAUACGGCAUGUAUCCCCUCCGCAUUUAUCAGAGCCAGUUACAAUCCUUUGCAAGUUACUUUUGAAUUAUUGACUUCCUGACUGGCGCUUCAUGCCUAAGAACAUCUCACGCCCUUGCAAGACCUCCCAUGAACGCCUCAUGAUUUAGGACUGGCACGGUGUCUGUGCUCGGGUCCGUCCCUGAAGCCUCGCUAAACCCAAGCAGCUGAGCCCUGGCUCACGGGCUGGUUCCCGUGUACGUCACCUCCCGUGGCUCUUGGUGCCUUGUUCUCGCAUGAGCUAAUCGCGGGUGGAUGAGUGAGGGCGCACGAACUGGUGCACCCAUGGCCACGGGAACCGCGCACCGGUUGUUUUUCUUCAGGAUCUUUGCAUGAGAAGACUGGGCACGGUGUCUGUGCUCGGGUCCAUCCCUGCAGCGUUGAUAAAUGCAGCGGCUGAGCUCUGUCUGGCGGGCCGGUCCCGUUCACGUCACCUCCUGGGGUCGUUGGUGUCUGGCCUUCUCAUGCAAUAACCUCAGGAAACUCAUCCGGCACAGGCUUCCUAAUCAUCUCGCAGGACCAAUUCAAGCACCCCCAAUCAAGACCAGGCGCAACCCGCCUUGAGGUAGGGCCUGAUACGUCCAUUUUGCAUCAUGCUUUUAUAUCGAUAUUUAUUGCAUUAUGGGCUGUUAUUACACAUUAUGUCACAAUACUUAUGCCUAUUCUCUCUUAUUUUACAAGGUUUACAUGAAGAGGGAGAAUGCCGGCAGCUGGAAUUCUGGGCUAGAAAAGGAGCAAAUAUUAGAGACCUAUUCUGCACAACUGCAAAAGUCCUAAAACUCCACGGAAGUUAUAUUUGGAGUUAAUAAAAAAUACUGAGCGAAGAAUCUACCACAGGGGGCCCACACCCUAGCCAUGAGGGUGGGGGCGCGCCCUACCCCCUGGGUGCGCCCCCUGCCUCGUGGGCCCCCUGGCAGCCUUCCAGUGCCCAUCUUCUGCUAUAUGAAGUCUUUCACCCUGGAAAUCAUAAGCAAGCUUUUGGAAUGAGACACCACCGCCAUGAGGCAAAUCCUUGGCGGAACCAAUCUAGGGCUCAGGCAGAGCUGUUCUGCCGGCGAAACUUCCCUCCGUAGGGGGAAAUCAUCAUCAUUGUCAUCACCAUCGAUCCUCUCAUCGGGAGGGGGUCAAUCUCCAUCAACAUAUUCACCAGCACCAUCUCCUCUCAAACCCUAGUUCAUAUCUCGAAUCCAAUCUGUCAGGACCCCGACUCAAUGCCACAUCAAUCUAGCAUGUAACCUCAUAUCACUUUGCGGCCUCACGCACGGUAUUCCCACGGGUGUCGCCUUACCUUUGCCCGGGACCGUUUGCGCCUUUUGGCACACGUAUAUGAUAGUGUCGCUAGCAUCCAUAUGAUAAGGAGCCCGGGCUGACAUGGCUAGUCGUAAACCCAAAGUGGCACAAACUUACAGGGACAGGCAUCCAUGACCCAGCAUCGAACGUGUCGGUCAUCAGCGAGUAAAUCCAGGUUGUAGCACUGGGCUAGCAGGACUCAGGUGAAACGGGCUGUAGCGGGCUAACAGGACUCUGGUAUUCAUCGCGUGACAUUUCCCCAAAGGGACAGACACAGGAACGAAGAAGGACACAUGCCGGCCAGCCUAAGUGCUCCGGAGCAGUAGCAAGCUACCAUGGCUCAGUGGAUGCACUAGGAGACAUUUCCCGGUAAGAGAGGCUACUAAGGAUAAACAACUAGAUAGUCAGAUCCCACACAUACCAAGCAUUUCAAUAACAUACACACAAUAUGCUCGAUAUGUGCAAAUACAACAUGGCAUCACAACAUGACUCUAUGACUCAAGUAUUUAUUCAUUAGGCUCCGAGGAGCGAGAUAUUACAAACAUAGGUCUCAUGACCCAACAUUCAGAGCAUACAAAUCAAGGCACAUGCGGAAGCUUAACAUGUCUGAGUACAGACAUCUACAAAUGAAAAAGGCUUGGAAGCCUGUCUAUCUACCAGAUCCUGCUGAGGGCACAAGAUCGUAGCUGAGGUAUCAAGCUAAACGUCGAAGUCCACGCGGAACUACUAGCGAGACCGAAGUCUCUCUGCAAAAACAUAAAAUAGGCAAACAUGAGUACAAAUGUACCCAGCAAGACUUACAUCAGAACUAACUACAUAUGCAUCAUUAUCAACAAAGGGGAUGGUGGGGUUUAACUGCAGCAAGCCAGCUUUGACUCAGUGGCUAUCCUAAACUACGACUGCAAGUAACUCUUUUGAGGUGGCGCACACGAGUCCACAUAAUCACCAUAUCAAUACACCACUAUGGAUCCGCUCCCGUCUCCCUACGAGAACGCCAUCCAUAGCACUCACGCUUAUCUUGCGUAUUUUAGAGUAUCCACUUUCACUUGUCUAUGAACUGCUAUAGGCAACCCAGAAGUCCUUUACCGCGGACACGGCUAUUCGAAUAGAUGAUGUUAACCCUGCAGGGGUGUACUUCUUCAUACAUGUUUCCACCACUUAGCGUCUGCACACGACAUGUGCUCGGCAGACUUCAAGCGAAAGCCGACGUGGGUGUAGACCACGACCUACCUAAACACUCAAGUCUCUAGUCCAGGUUUAUCGCCUAUUCGGGUUCCAUCCAUGAGGAGAUCCGGCCGGAGUUUCGCUCACAGCCCCAACCGAUGUGAGCAGGGUUCCCGAGACACCAAACGGGCGACCGGUACACCGUGCCACGUGCCUACCGCAUCACAGCCCACCCCUUCGGUCAGUGCUGCGUACGGCCUCCAGCAUACUACAAACACCAAAAACUACUUGCUACUCCUGGACAGGGGACAAGGGUGAUUAAGAAGUCGAGCGGGGUCAUAUUUCAGGGCCCAAUGCAUGGUAGUAGCUGAAUCAUGGAUCACAAACACAGAACUCAGUUCCUGAGGACGGCUUCAAUGAGACAACCCACCAUGUACUCCUACAUGGCCUCUCGCCGAUACCUUUACCAAAUCGUGUUCACACACUUAGCUCACACACAGUAGGACAUGUUCACACACCUCUGAUUCAUUCCCGAUGAAUCAGCCCUGACUCAACUCUAAGCAAUAGCAGGCAUGACAAACAAGCAUGAAUGAGUAGGCACCACAGGGCUCAAACAACUCCUACUCAUGCUAGUGGGUUUCAUCUAUUUACUGUGGCAAUGACAGGUCAUGCAGAGGAUAAAGGGGUUCAGCUACCGCAGCAAGUAACAGAUGAAUCGUUGUUGUCCUAAUGCAGUAAAAGAGAGCAGGAGCGAGAGAGUGUGAUUGUAUCGGAAUGAACAAGGGGGUUUUGCUUGCCUGGCACUUCUGAAGAUAAUAUAGUUCUUCAUCGGUGUCAUCGAUCACAUCGUCGAACAUCGUCUACUGAGAGGGGACAAUACCGGCAACAGAGAAAGAACACAAUCAAUGCAAUGCAACAAUAUGAUGCAUGCUCAUGACAUGGCAAUAUGAGUGUGUUGGCCUAAUGCAACUACAACCAGAUGGAUUUGGGUCAUAUUGAGCCAAAGGUUCAACCCCAAAUUCAAAUUAUUAAUUCAAAUAGUGCCUUAUCAUGUUUUGCACUAAACAGCAAGGUUAAGUUGUUUAAACAUGGAUGAAACCAGUGCAGAUGAAUAGAUUAGAUUUUUCUGAUCAUUUUUCAUAUACAGCUUGUUUGAUUUGGAGCUACGGUUGAAUUUAUAUGAAUUUUAGAAGUUUGAACUAAAUUCUGGAAUUUAUAAAUCAUUCUGGAUUUAUUUUAAUUCCAGAAAAGGAUUACUGCGUCAGCAUGAUGUCAUGCUGACCUCAACAAGUCAACAAAUACGUCCAGGUCAAACCUGACUGUGGGUCCAGGGUGUCAGUGUAAUUAGUUUAGCUAAAAAUUAAUUAAAACUAAACCAGUUUAGUUAACAGGGCUGGGCCCCACCUGUCAUUGACUCAACAGAAUCAACCAGGGCCCAGCCGCGGUCAAAGUCAAAGUCAGCUGCGCCGGCGUUUAGCCACCGGCGAACCCGACGCGGCGGCGGAAGUGAUUUUGGCCGUUCCGGCCACCAAAUGGGUCGCGGAAGGCAUCUGGGUGGAGCUGGGGACAAACCGCAGCUCUUGGUGGAGUUAAUUGGGGUCGGGGUUGCCGGAGUUGGCACCGGCGACGACCUAGGCGGCCACCGGAGUUCGGGUGGAUGCGAACUCGAAACUAGGGUGUGCACUGAGGUGCGGGGAGUGCAUGGUUAGACCCUACGCGUCGUGGUGAGUGUGAUGGACACCGAAAGGUGGCCGGAGGAUGGCCGGGAGCACGUUGGCGACGAGAUCCACGGCGGUGCGUGCGGGUGAUCUUCGUGUGGUUGCUACACAGCUCGGGGGCGAGAGAGGAAGGGGAGGGGAGGUAGCUAGGCUCCCAGAGCACUCGUAUAGGCAACCGGCGGGGUCGGGGAUGAACUGAGGCGGCGACGGCGUUGAAAGGGAUCUCCGGCGACGGCGGACUUGGGCGAAGUUGUGCGGUGGCUUCAGGGCACGCGAGCGCUCGGGGCUCGGCUAGCUCGUCGAAGAGGAUGGCGGCGGAGCUCCUGGACAGGACGAGACGGAGCACGCACGGUGGGGAGCGCGGCUACGGUGAUGGAGCGGCGGCGGUGGCGUCGGCCAUGGCUGGGGAGCGCGAGGGGGAGGAGCUGGAGAGGAGAGGAGGUGUCUGAGGGGUUCGGGGGAGAGAGGGGGAGCGAUCCACGUCGCAGCUGGACGAGGGGAGAGGCGAGGUGGCGACCAGGUGCGUGGCACCCAUGCGGUGCUCGCCACCGAGCACCUUGCCUGCCUGCCUGGCCAAGCCAAGCAGCUCGCUGGCGCGGCAGCUGGGCUGGGCCGGCAGGUGGGCCGGUUGGUAGGCGCCAGGUAAAACUUCCUUCCUGUUUUCUAUUUUACUGCAACUUUGUGACUUUAUUAAAAAUACUAGACCAAACCCAAAAAUCAUGAAACUAGCUCAAGCCCACUGUUUGGAAAAUAUCCAACAGCAAACAUUUAAGUUUAUGAUUAUUUGAGCAUUUAAAUUAUUUUAUAGUAUUUAAAUGCCCAAAUGCAAAUAGAGUAUGAUUUAAUUCAGAGCCCAAUAUGUCCUGCAAAAAUAUAAACCAUUUUUAGUAGAUGCUUUCACCUCAAACCAGAAAUGUUGAACAUUUUUAGAGGGAAUUUUGAGUUCAAUGAAAAAGAUUUUAUUUUGACCCUAGUUGAAUUCAUUUGGUGCUAGGGUUUAAACAAUCCCCAUUUCAAGUUUCAUGAAAUUUAAACAUGAUGCAACACUCUAAUGCAUGCACUAGGCAUUGUUAGAACCUGGGAUGUGAGAACUCACCCCCACUAAGCAAGAAUCUCGUCCCGAGAUUCAAGCGUAGGGUAAGAUGAAAGGGAAGCGCAAACUAAUAUAAUCUUCACGAUCUAGGUUGCACUUCAAAUGAACAUUGAUUUGUUCACCAUCAUUGUCUCGAAGUCUUGCUCUGGGAACUCCAUCCCACAUGACAACAAGUAGAAAGGGAAAACUCUAGUAGGAUCGAUCUUCUCGAAGAUCAAACAACUUAGGAUCAGCUCACGGGGUGAGUCAUAAAAACAUCUCGCAAGCUGAGAUACAAAGCACACAUCUAGAGGAAUGGAGUGGAAUAGAUGACGAGGGUUCACUAGGUAGACAACAAUUCCACACCUAAGAGGGUGGUGAACGGUUGUCAACGUAGCGAGAGUUUGAGUUGCCAUGAUACCACAGCGAGACAUCUUAGAGGAAGGCAAUUCGUAGAUAUAUCCCCUUAAGUGGCAAAAAGAAUUACCUUUGAUUCAGAGAUCAUUGAAAUUCUUUAUACUAGCCUAAGGCAAUUCACCAUCGAUCAUUUGAAGGAGUCCGAAAGAAUGACAUUCUCGGGCCAGAAUGGAUGAUGUGGAUUACCUUGUUGAAGACAACACAAGGGAUGAUUUUGCUUAUCAUCGGAAAUGGAUGGGACCCAAGAUAGGAUGGCACAAUGACAGUGCAAGUUGGGAACAAAAUACAAGUGCUGGGAAUGAUUCUAGUAACUGGGGAGAAACUCAAUGGCAGAGAGUGAUUCCACUAUUGGAAUGGUUAUAGCAUAACCGGGGAAACUGAGAACAAUCUCAGUUAGUAACUAGGAUAGCACCUAAUGCUUGUGCGUGAUUUCAAGAACUUGAGCAUCUCCAUAAUCAUCAAGGUUUUACCAACAUACGUGUCAAGGGUGCUGACAACACAACAUACUACCAUGAUGAAUAGCGAUGGACGAUGCAGAUGCAAAGGAAGAUAACACUUUGUCAGAUUUCACCUUAGCGAAGCCAAGGGAACAAAAUCUGGAUGAUCGACCGAGAGACAUUUAGCACUCCGCUUCUAAUGUUCUCCUUGAUGUGCUAGCAUAAUCCAUUCAUAGAUAUGGUUUGAUAUCUAGAACAUCAAGUAAAAGGUCGGACUUCGGAAACACAAAAAUCAAUAAAGGACAACUAGGGAGUAAAUCCUUCGAAAUCCUUAUGGGGAGAUGGCCAACUUCCUCAAUCAAGAUACUACAAUAAUAGGUCUUCCAGCUGGGUGUGUUGGCCAUGACAUCCUCUUUACCGGUUAUUGAGAGACCAAUAUUAUAGUUCUUGGGAGAUGUUCCAUAAAUCAUAUCUGCCUGAGAUUCAGAUCUGGUUGGCGUCAGAGUAUUGCAGACUCAUCAAGUCUAGAAAGUAAAAUGAAAGUUUGCAACACAAGUCGACGAGAAGACGUUGCAAGAUUCUCGGGAAAUGGACUACAGUAGUAAGCUCCAAAACAUGAGCUGGUUCUGCUACACCCAUGUGAACACACUGUCCCAGACAAGCAUGACCACGUAGUAGUCUUACAACAAAACACUACCGAGUUCAGGAGGGAAACCAUCAACGAGGUUAGCGAAGUCCUAACAUAAGUAAUGAUUCUUAAGAAGGAACUUCUUCUCCUUGAACAAAUCAAUCAGUGGCUUGGUGUGCUAGGAAUACAUAUAGAAUGAAGGUUGCAAGUCUUCGAACCACAGAAUACUUCGCACGUAUGCAUGAAUGAUUUGGGAUGAUUCCAAAGGAAGCAACAUUGUCUUUCUCGAAUCCACGGCGACAACUUGCAUCAAAUGCACAUGAACUAGAGGAAGUCACUUCUUACAUCCGAACAUAUGCUUCAUGAGAUAGCAUGAACAAAUGCUUUCAAAAUUUUCCAACACUAGAUUAAUGUUCAACAAAAUUAUGGAGAAGACAAGGAUGUUGUCGAUGGGCUCAACAACAAUUCAUCCAGACUCCCAUGGAGAUGGAAUUCCAUAACUAUGUGAACAAGGUGAUAGUAUUGGUCAGACCAAAGGAUAUAAUGGUGUAUGCUCGGGGGAUCAACCACGAGUAAGACAACAUUAAGAACAUUGUUGGUUCUGACUUGAUUUGAGGAUAGCCCAUACUCAAAUCAAAGUUUUUGGCAAGACAAUAGCUCCAGCAACUGGUCUCGAGGAUCAAUUGAUGAAGAUAUCAUCUUUCUUCAACACACAUAAAAAGAUAUCCCUUAAAUGAACUAAGCCAGGCAAUCUUCUAUCUUCCAACUCUCCAAGUUGUUGUUUGGCUUAACCAACUAGCUCAGGGGUAUCCAACAUGGAUUCUUAGAGAAAGGGUGGUUUACAGGAAUAAACCAACUUGAUCAUGAACUCAACAUAGCGGUCAGGUGACAACCUGGUGAUACUUCCGAGAAGAUGUUCGGAACAUCACGAACCACCGAUAUGUUAUUAAGCUCGAGAACAAUCUUGUUUCCGAGGCAAGAUGAUGUGAUCAAUUAAGCAAGGGAUUGAAACCCUAACUCAUUGAUCGAAGAUUACACCAGAAAUAAGGACUAGGUAGCAUAAUCAGUCUUAGAAUGAUGAUUCAAGAACCAACACACUAAGAAUGAAAUUAUUGUCCAUUAACUACCAAGCAACACAGUUGCUAGGAGUAUUGAGUUCACACAUCAUGAUUCACCUGUCGGCAUUCCGGUUGCGACAACACGGAACCUAGGAAUGAGUAAUGAUGGCGAGGAGUAUUACUACAUCAAGAAUUCAUAGGAUGGUGUGCAAUUCCCAUGACAUUCUUGAUAUAAAGAUGGUAAUAUUCCAAGGUAGAACAGAACAAAAGCUUGAUUGCAUUUUGAUCUACGGAAUACAACUGGUUUGACCCAAUCCUGGAUAUGGAUGAGGUACAGGAGUUUGUUUCUCCUGGUCAUUAUGAAAUAGAAUGGCUUGAUGGACCACAAAAGUAAAAGGCAUCGAUGAACACGAAUGCACGACUACUCCUGACUAUCAAUCGAUAGACGAAGGUCAGUAUACAACUAAAGGGGGACAACUCAAAGGAACAUAUGAUUUUCUGAGUUGUGGAUGCAUAGAUUAGUAUGUCGAACCAAGUUCAACAAAUUUCUUUCGGAUAAUCCAUGCGGAAAGGUAGAACUGGCAGAGUCACAAUAUAAAAUGGAGAACUCAUCAAGAGCACUCCUGUUGUGAUCUUUUGAUCCAACAAACUUCUGCCAUAAGCGGUUCAUAGUAUUUGGAAGAAGGAAAUACCACGGACCUCGAGGACUAAUGCAAAGGUUACUAAUAACCUAAAGGAACGAGCA
rnacentral:lncRNA from 1 species